rnacentral:lncRNA from 1 species
CUGCCUCGUAACUGCUUCUUCUGCAACGGAACAUGUUACUGCUUAAAGCAACAAAGAACGGCUAAAGCUCAUCGCAAGAUCGGAAAGAACACCAGCCCGCACAGACAACAACGACACGACUCCAAAUACAGGUAAAAAGGGGAUAGCAAUUAACUACUAACCCAUCCGCUAUACUAUAUAAAACCUAAGCUGAUAGGAAAGGGUUGUGGCCACCAGGCGAGAAGGACACCAAAAUGUGUCUAUAGUCUAUACCAGUGUCGGUAAUAGUGAGGUUUCUUUUUCCUUAGCCAAAGACGAAUAAGGCCAGUAGCCAGCCUUUUUAAAAACCAGAAGGGAAGAAAGAGCCAAUUGAAAAGGCUUUAAAGAAGAGAUGAAAGAAUUGUUACAAACAAAGCAAAGGGCUUGAAGGACGCCCUCUCAUACUUUCUCAACCGAUGAAGCGAGCUAGGUCUCCUCCUUUUCAGGGAGAGCUAAUGCUUGUUGGGUAUUUUGGUUUGACACUGCUUCAUACCCCCCACGUGGAUUGGCCAGGGUCUUCUUCGGCUAAUGAGACCUCGAUCCCGAAGCCUUCGAAGUAUUUUUUUGAUAGGUGCCUCUUUUUGUAUGGGGAAUUCGCUGCUAAUAGAUCUCGCCCAGUGUCCCCCUCCUUCCCUCGGCCACCUUUCUUCGAGAAACGUCAGCAUGCUCUUUGAAACUGGUGCUCUAGAAGCUUUAGACCGCACUUGAGCAGGUUAAUCUUAAGUGUUGGAAGCUACUGCUAAGGGAAUCCCCCUCAUCUAGAAAGGAUAGGCAAUUGAGAGAGAAUAGGGUUAUAGCGAUAGACACAGGAACUGAAAGAGAUUUUGACGAUUACUUCCGUAGAGGAGAGGGGAAAGCUGCUUAGAUAGGGCGAUAGCUCGGUUUUGAUUGUUUAUCCUUUCCUACGCUUGUCUUGUAUUGAGGUAUACUAAAGAAAUGAGUAAAAGUCGGUAACAGAAGGGGAGGUAUUGCUGUUUUUUAUUAGUAAGGACAAGCCGCUUUCAUUUUCAACAAUCUAAUGGUAGGGCGAGUAGGCGGUUCGUAUCUUUCUAUGACCCCCAGAAUAAGAAGUUGGAGGAUAGGCAGAGCAAGACCUCUUGAAGUCUACCCGGGCACGCUUCUUCAUUCAUCUUUUUGGUUAGAUAAUGGAAGACGAUAAGCCACCGCCCAGUAGUGCUCUCGGAGCUUGAUUGCUCCGAGCCGGUAACGUGUAGGUCACAAUCUAAAUUUCUAACUGAAAAGCAGAAAGUAAUAAGUUCAACGGGUAAGAGAAUGCAUUUAACCGAUUGAAAGCGUGAUAAGUGUCACUAACGGUAUAGCGAAUAGGGCGUUUAACUGUAACUCACCGGUAGGACAGAUAACGUUUGUGGUUUGAGUUCGCUUAUCCGACCUAUAUUUAUUUCCAACUAAAGGUAAAGGCAUUUUUCGCUUCACCGGAAUCCGAUGUCAAUUGGUUACCGGUUGGAUUCUAUCCCUCCCCUACGUUUUCUUUUGCCCUCUACCCCCAAAAAGCGAAAGGAGAGGGAACAACCAUAAUGAUACACCCUAAAACUAUACGGAGCCCUUCAGAAUGACCUAGAAUAUAGUCUACUAGACUAGACAAGAAAGAGUGACGUAGACUAUAUUCGCCCGUAGAGGUGAGAGGAGAAAGCUGUGAAGAUUCUAACUCUAACUACCACCUCGGGACUAUAUUAGUAUAAAGCGACAUUAUCCCUUUACUAAAUCCUCCCUCGCUUAUCACCAUGAACAAGACCUUUCCCAAUCAAAGCAAGGGCGUAGCAGCUUUCACCAGGGAAACUUCCUAUUAGGAAUGGCUUCCUUUCAGGUUGUGUUGUUACAGACCAGACUGUUCUAACAGGGCAGGGGAGACGGAUAACUAAUAUAAUACAGUAUAGCUAUGAUCGGGAAAUAGCGCAGAUAAGAUCCGACUGAAUGUGUGAACCAUCUGACUGUAUUUUCCAACUGAAAUGGAAUAUUACUACCGAAAUUGAAUUGUACAUCCAGAAUAGUCCUAAGAAGACAUGAUCCCAGGCCGGUACUUGACAUGUACCCCCUCUUCCAGGUCCAUCACAAGGAAAACGAAAACCAAGAUUUGCCUUAUCCGGUAUCAAACAAGAACUGCGAGCAAAUAGAACACCUUUCAAGAGUAUCAAUACCGUCACAUGAAUCGAAAAUGCAUGAAUGUGAUAGGGAGAAUCAUGCAUGGGAGUUGUGCGGGAAUAAAUCUCAGCCAAAGUUUGCCAGUCCUCUUGGGCGGCCGAGAGUGUUAUGUAAAAAGGACCAAGGAGGAUGCCUGCUACUUCAUCUGGGAGAAAAGAAUCAUAGCUCCCGGUAGCAAAAGGGAGUAGCAAAGGGGACAAAGGACUCGUAGUACCUACUAGCGUGGCUACGCAGUGGAAGGGAAGGAGCCUAAAUUAACCCCCUUCUUUUUAACAUAAUUUUUGAAUUGGAUCAAUACUUCCAGGGCGGACCCCAACCGAAAGGCACUAGACGGAGGUUUCAGGUUCAUACUCUGCUCCCUAAUCCGCUUUCUCCUUUGACGCUAUGAAGUCGCUUUCUUCUUUGACGUGAAUCGUGAAUACGGGAGCUGCUACUGAGUACUGAGUGAAUGGGCAAAAGGAGAUUGGGGAUCUAUCGAGUGGAAAACCAGGAAGACUAUCGAUACACCGAAGAGCUACCAAACACGGGAACUCAGGAAGGCAAAGGGGGAGAUUUUCCUUUAUCCACCCGAAAUAGAGCUAUCGAUGAAAGGAUCCAGAUUUCACACUAUGCUGUGGGCUGGGGAAAGAGCUGCCAUAUCUUGAUGUAGAAAGGAGCUCUCUUCACAUCCAUCUGGUGAAGCUUUAAGUAAAAGUGAAUUGAAAAACUACAUGAGGGGAUUUACAUGCCACCUUCUCCAGGGUGAUACCGAUGUAUUUUGAUAUCCCACAGGUUCGACGAAAUGAGAGCGUCAGCUGAAGGGUGCGAAGCUCGCGCUACGCUCUAGUAGAAGCAAAAGCGGAAGCAAUCCAAAAGGUUUUAGCCAACUGAGACCGUAGAUUUGGGUACGACAACAUUACUUGAUUGUCUGAAAAGGCAAAGAUACUCAAAAGUGGUAUGCGCACAUAAAAAGCGGUUGCAGAUGCCCAUGCUUUGAUUCGAAAGCUCGACCUGCGUGGGACUGAUCUGGACUGAUAACCCGAACCCUUAAUGCUUAAGUAAGACUUCCACCACGUCAAGGUGACACUCUACCACUGAGUUAUAUCCCUUCCCCACCCCAUCGAGAAAUAGAACUGACUAAUCCUAAGUCAAAGAAAAUAUGACAUAGAGCCAUACCGGCCAACCCCUCUCUCCAUUUUGAAAACUGGACAUCAAAAUGCCAUGCGCUCACGGCCCCUUCUUCACGUUGAAGUAAAUUGUGGCAGCAGCCCGAGGUGGGAAUGAAUCCUUCUUGUGCGCUUUCAAAUCUUUCAUCAACUGUUGGGCUCUCUCGGGGAACUCGCCCUUGGGAUUCAGAAAUAUCUAUUUCUACUUUUCAGGCACUACCUGUCCACCAUUUCACUCAUCCUAUCCAUCCUUUCCAUGUAAUCCAUCUUUGAGUCGCAGCUGAAAGAACUACCUUUCACAUCCAAACUCGGGGUCCUACCCCUGUCUUUCGCCUUAUCGCCCUUACUCUCCUUCCCUUGCCAAUGGAUCAGAAUCUUUUCCAACAACAUCCAGGACUCUAUCAUCCCAACCCAUCUACGACUGAGGAAUCGAACAUCAAGAGAUAGAAUAAGAAAAGAGAUGCUCUAGUUAACUGAUAGAUAAGGCACCCGCAAGCAGGGACCGAAGAGAUAGAGAAAGGGAAGACAUGCCAAUCGACCUGAAUAGAUAGCCUGUGGGAGAAUCGGUGCACCCAACCUCAAGAUAAGAAGAAAAGGCCGCUUCGGAUGCCUUCCCUUUCGUUCGCCUCUUCCCAUAAGAAAUGACGUAAGUAGUAGUGCCCGAAAUUGGCAGAUAUCUCCCAUUAGACAGAUCAACGGUAGCGGACAUGGGAUAAACUAGCAGGAGAGCCAAUUUGACCGCGCAGACCAAAUGAGCGAAAUAUUUUUAAAGUGAAAGCGCUGUGCCAACUUGCGUACAAUAUUUAUAUGUGGAUUUGAUACUAUAGUCAAAUCCUCUUCAUAAGUCCUUUCUUAUAGGCUAUUUAAGGUCUACAGCUUUCCCCUCUCCUCUACGGAAGUAAUCAUCAAAAUCUAUUUCAGUUCCUGUGUCUGUUGCUAUCGCCCACGCAGGUUUGGAACCCUAUACAAGGGGCUAGCUAUACCUGAAUCAGUUUGACUCAAUACUUGCACUUGGAUCUUUCUCCCCAGCUUCUUUCUACGAUUCUAGUCAAGUCCUGCUAGUAUGCCUCGAGAGCCUGAGCUACUAUUUUCUUUUCCUUACCCAUAUAUCACAGUUAGUACCCUGAAAGCCAUUGCCUUUCAAGUAGAGCAUCUUUUCAAGUCAGUAUUAUCCCGCUGAUUCUAUGCCAUCAAAGCAUGCUAACAACAGGCCAAAAUAUGAGACCCGAAGGGCCCGGCAUGCACAAUCCUAUCCUAUUCGAGUCCGAGUUUACCCCUUGCACUUCUCGGGCCUCUAGUGAGUUACAGACAGAGUUCGAAAGGGUCAAAUCUUUAAUGAUUCCAUCAUCUAUGAUUGAUUUAUGAAAACUUCUGGAUAGGUAUCCAACAUCUGAACCGAAUUCUUUCUGGUUAAAGAAUCUCUUUCUAGUUGCUCUAGAACAAUUAGGAGAUUCUCUAAAAGAAAUAUGGGGUUCUGCUUCUGGCGGCAACAUGCUUGGUCCCGCUUAUGGGGUCAAAUCAAUACGUUCUAAGAAGAAAGAUUGGAAUAUCAAUCUUAUCAAGAUCAUCGAUCUCAUACCAAAUCCCAUCAAUCGAAUCACUUUUUCGAGAAAUAUAAGAUGACCAUAUCUGCUUUUGCGCCAUGACAAUCUCACUCGAAUUACGGGAACCUACACAUAUUAGUAUAGUAUAUCGGGGUCCUCGGCCAGAACCACACGUGCAAGUUUCCCUGCAUGUGGCUCGUCUGUGCUUUUCGAGGCGCUGCUUGUGACUCAGCAUGGGAGAAGAGGGCGGAACUGCACACUUUCGUGUUCAGAGUAUUGUCCGAGUGAGUAGGCAGCUCCAUUGGGAAGUGAAGAGUGGAGAGCCCACUUGAUCUUUUUGUGGUUUUGCCGAAGUUAUUGCUUUUUUAGUCAUUUCAGUAUGUUGAUAGAGAGCUCUGGGAAAGCAAAGAAUGGAAUGUCUGUUCUGUAACAAAGAAGAAGGUUGCUUGAUUAGGCUGAGCUUCGGUCCAGCUUGUUGUUACAUGAGUCUUGGCUUCAGCAGAUGGAUCCUAUUACUAUGUUGAUGAUCUUGUAUACUAACCGAGUCCGCACUCACUCGAGAACACGUAUGUCCUCCCUGUAAUUGUCUUGUCUUUGUUAUGGUUUUAGGGCCUACAUCUACCCGUAUGGAGACACCAUCAUUCGCAAGGCUUGCUUUACAUUGGACCCAAUGUUGAGCCUCUCAUAGCCCAUAUUUCUGCUGACGAAGGAUAAGAGUGCGCCCCUGCGGAUACACUUCCAUACCAAGAAAGUCAUGGAGAAGGCCCGACGUCUUUCAUAUUUUCAUGAGCAUGCAAGAACGAAAGAAGAGCAAGUAUUCCCUGUUGAUCACUACCUGUGAGAAAAAUAUCAUCGACAUAUAAAAGAAGGUAGAUACUAUCCCCAGAUGUGUGAUGAAUGAAUAAAGAGGUAUCACAGUGGGGCCUGUCUUCUGUCCGGUUCUUGGGUCCGGUUGAGCCUCUUUGAAAUUACAUCCCUGCCUCUCGUCUAACUCGAGUUGCCCCACUCCUUUGGCACCACUAAGAGGGAUUAGAUUACCAACCCCUCUUUCUAACUAGAACUUCAGAACAGCUACGCUUGUCGCCCGCUAAAGCAAUUAUUGCAGCUCUAGUUGAACCAAUUGUAACUGCUCCGGUGGAUCAGAGCUACUCGAAAACCAUGAUAGGUGCUUGAGAUCAGAACUGCUUACAGCAGCCUUGACCUGGUCCAAUGGAAAGGGAAAACUGAAAAAUUGAGCAUAAAAAAAAUCUAGAGAAUGGGCUAUUACGUGUAAACAAUGGAAAUUCAAUAAUAAGAGUCUGAUCUUCUUGCUUAAGAAUAUGUGAUUCCUACGGAGUGAAGUUGUUGGGGGGAAGAAAAGAUGAGGAAGCUAGUUUAAUUGAGGAAGCCACUUUCUUUAAUGUAUACUAGCUAGUCUACAAAAGCAUGAUGCAUGACGCUUCUCCUUUUUUUAGUCCACUCUCCCUUAGAAAACGGAGCUGCUUGAAAGCAGAUUUUGAAAUUACAUAGGUGAAUGUAGAGAUCACCGGUGUCCGAGUUUUAUCGGCCUUACGUAACUGCGAGCUUCCACUAAGGGGCCGUGGUCUAGGCUAAAUUAUUUUUAUUAGAAAGAAUGAAUGGAAAAAGGAUGCUUCUGUUAUGGUUUUUAUAGUUGCGAGAAUUUUUUUUUUCCCAUAUGCCGCUCCGCCAGCAAGGAGCGAAAGAACCAAGUUUUCUGUGGUGAUGUCAGAAUUUGCACCUAUUUGUAUCUAUUUAGUGAUCAGCCCACUAGUUUCUUUGAUCCCACUCGGUCUUCCUUUUCUAUUUUCUUCCAAUAGUUUGACCUAUCCAGAAAGAUUGUCGGCCUACGAAUGUGGUUUCGAUCCUUUCGGUGAUGCCAGAAGUCAUUUUGAUAUAAGAUUUUAUCUUGUUUCCAUUUUAUUUAUUAUUCUUGAUCCGAAAGUAACCUUUUUCUUUCCGACAAUGGAAGAAGUCUUGCACUGUGUGUUGUGUAUGUCUCAGGAGACGGUGGGUCCCAUUCCUUAUCCUAAUGAAGCAGCUGAAAAAAGGGAAUGUAGAGAAGAAUAUCCGUAUAAUAAAGCUUUCCCAACCGGCCAACGAUCCUUCCUGUGCGCUGAUCGUGGAUAAGACACUCAGAAGAAGAAAAAAUAACACGAAGAUGGUUAGCUGCAAGGUGACUGACAGAAAUUUCUUUUUAGCAGGAAAAUGGAAUCUAUCAUGAAGAAUCCGGGAUGAAGACAUAGAACCACAGUGUGAAAGAGGUAAGAGAGUGCCAUCUGCAAUGUUAACAGAAUCUUUGAUAGGUAAAGGAGGCAGACUGGACUUAAUGCUGGAAGCCGACUCUCGUUCUUUAACCUAUAACCGAAGAAAAAUGAGUUCGGAUCUUCUCUUUUUGAAGACUGGAAAGCGCCUUCUCUGUCUAAGGUCAGGCUUGCAACCUUACCACCUCGUAACUCGUUCUACCGUACUCCAGACCCCCGCACAUCAGAAGGGUGGACUGACCGCACUGGGUCGCUAAGAAAUAAGAAAUAUUUCAACGCGAUCUAAAAUGCUAGCUUGAAAAGGAAGUCCCUUACACUAGUCCAAUUCUUUUUUGGUUAUUAGCAAGCUAUGAAGAAUAUUUUCUCGAUCUUCACUUCAACUGGCCGGAUGUGGAUGGAACGUAUGCUAUGAGUGCUUUAGUUACGAUGUGGAUACCGGUUGUAUUCUAAGUUGAUUCAACAACAGCCUAAGUUUCCUUAUUUCAACAAAUUUCCUGAACUUAUAAUCUGAUGAUCGAGUCGAUUCCAUGAUUAUAAGUUCAUUCCAUACCGGACCAGGCCGGAAUAGGGUUAUAUACAUUCUCAUUAUGAGAAGGGGCCAUUCAGGCCUAUGUUAGGCAGCCGUAAUAUUUUGUUACGUUCUGCCGCUGUUACUCCAAAAUAAAAGGUUCCACACGAGCUCCCGUUCUGCGGCGUGGUGGCAGGACCGCUAGGGGAGUGGCUCCGGGUAUAGAUAGGGUGAAAUCUGCAGGGGUCAUGCAAAUACAAGCUUCACUCAUUUCCUCUUUCGGUUGGGGUUGGUUACUCUUCAUCUCUUGGUAAUUUCCUUAUCACGCAUAUCAUACAAUCUCAUAGGAAGUAGAAAGUAAGUCAAGUCCAAGGGGUUUACAUAUACUCAUAAUUGUUGUUAUAAUUAUUAUUAAUAAUUAUAAUUUAUAAUUUAGAAGGAUUUUUUGAUUGAAAAAAUCCAUACUGAUUAGUUAUAUAUCAAGUUGUAUUUUCUUAUGUCAUUAGGAAAACAAAAAUUGGAGAUUCAAAUCCAAGAAUUGUUCAUGCAUUCUAAGUCAAUAGUUAAUGGUUCCUAUUUUCAUAAAGUUGAAUUUUUGAUUUUGCGACUGAAAAUCCACAUUUGAUUUUUCAAUAGAUUUCAAUAGAAAGGUAAGAGAAAGUUUUGAACAUUAUGAAUUUUGAGAUAGACUCAAUCGAAAUUGAAAGGAUGAAUCAAACCCAAUCAAAAGGGUAGGAUUCACCAGCCGCUAGACAUAGCACAGAAGCCAACAGUAGUAUGAAUGGGACAGGAACUAUUCGACCUCUUUCAGGAAAGGGCCUUACACGCACAGGUCCGAUUACGCGUAUUCCUAAUCCUAAAUGGAAUGUAAUGAUGUAGGGAUCCAUAUGUAAACAUAGUAUCUAUUUAGAUAGGCCCAAAUGGCCCCUUCUCCUUUUUGGAAUGGAAAGAAGAAAGGAUGGUCGUAGAACACUGAUGUCGAAUUCACGAAAAAGAUCAUAUGUGAAAGAAUCAUCAGAUUAUGGGUUCCCAGAGUAGACGGAAUGGAGAAUGAAUGAAAUAGAAUAGUCUGGCAGAAUCGUAUGAUAGGGAAAGUGCGGAGCCUCCCACUUGUCUGGGUUACCGGGCUGGCUAACCUAACUAUGAAUUUCUAUCAAUGUCGGGAUAGACAGAGGUCUAGGAUAGUACGCUGUCGGAGUGAGACCGGGGUACAGUAACGAAGUUAGACCGAAAUGAACGACUCAAUUCCUCUAGAAGAAAGGAGAGAGAAAGAACAACAGUAUUUUAGUAAACACUUUUUUACCAAGGAUCUUGGAAAGCUUGGAUACUUGUUGGGUAUUGAAGUAGCAAGAUCAAAGGAGGGAAUAUCACUUUAUCAAAGGAAGUAUGUUACAGACUUUUUAGAGCAGACUGGAUUGUUGGGAGCAAUGUGGAUACUCCUAUGGAUCCGACUUUGAAAUUCAGUAAGGAUGAUGGCCAGCUCUUUGAAAAUCUAGAGAGGUAUAGACGUUUGGUUGGAAAGCUCAUCUAUCUGACUGUAACCCGACUAGAUCUAACCCUUGCUCUUGGACUGGUUAGUCAAUUCAUGCAGAAUCCAAGACAAGAUCACUGGGAGGCUUUUUGUCCUAUCUUGAGGUAUCUCAAGAAAACUCCAGGAAAAGGAUUGUUCUUUAGGGGAAAAGAUUCAAUUCUUUCACACGGAAGGAGACAACUCUCUCUUAUUGGCUUAGCCUUUCGAGUUGAAGGUAACUAUAGCUGUUCGGAACCCACAAACCAUCCCGACCGGGGGUCAGAAUUUCUUCGAAUAUGUUCUUGAAUUCAUUCGAGAUGUGAGUAAAACUCAAAUUAGAGAAGAAUAUGGGCCCUGGGUUCCUUUUAUUAGCACUAUGUUUUUAUUUAUUUUUGUUUCUAAUUGGUCCAGCUUGACAAGCAACCCUUCCUCUUGAUCUGAGGUGCGAAGAGAAAGAUUUCUUUUUUAUGACUUCCACUUAAUGAUCCUGGCCCAGAAAAGUGACCGACCAGGGCAGGGCCUGACCAGGUCAUCAUAAGAAAAUACUGAAAAAUCUUUCCAAAGUGAGAGAAGGAGGGAAGGCACGCUACAACUAACAUAACAGCCAGAAGAUCUAGCACCUCGGUCAGAGAGAAUGGGGCACGAGUUCUCUCUGAUUCAGAUUGUGAUCUACCGGUUACUGGCUUGGAGCAAUCAAGCUCAAAGAGCACUACUGGGUGGUGGCUUAUCAUCGUCUAUUAUCUAACCAAAAAGACAUGAAGUAAAAACGGUUCCAUUCCUUCUUAUUGUACUUCUGGGUCAACCCAACCCGAAUGGGAAGAAGAGGGUCAGCCAAACUGCGGUCCACAUUGUACGUUUGCAAUUGCAUACCUAUACAAGGGUUCAAGUUUUGAUCGAUAUUUGCAGAGUUGAUUAUCCCUCUCUGAAAUAGAAGGCUUAGAAGGGAGAUAAUGAAAUUAUGUGAUUGGGUCUUCGUCCGGGGCUUCCUCUUACCCUUUAAAAUCAAAAAAAGUGGUGAAGUCCAUCCUAAAGUUCCAAAUCUACAUCCAACACUAGAGGUUCCUGAUGAGAACAAAUUGUAAGGCUCCACUCGGCACCGUCGGAUCACUAAGGCCGACUUUCGUCCCUGCUCGACGGGUGGGUCUUGCAGUCAAGAUCCCUUCUGCCUUUGCACUCGAGGGCCAAUCUCCAUCCGGCCCGAGGAAACCUUUGCACGCCUCCGUUAUCUUUUGAGAGGCCUAUGCCGAACCAUAUUUACAGAGAAGCAAACUCUUCUGCAGAUUCUAUAGCCGGCUUCUCCCUUUCUGGUUUGCAUGUCUUUCAUUCUGAAUUGCCUCCUUUGACUCGUGCAUGCUUGCUCCGCAUGCUUCUUACCUUUUUGCUAGCUUCUUGAACUCGGAAUGAUAACACGAGCCCUAGAACAAGCAGUCUUAGCGAAAGAAGGUACGCGCACAUAAAAAGUGGUUGGACGGUGUCUUUCUCGAGAAGUUUCCAUAUAGGUUAUAAAGAGCUAUCUCAUAUCUAAUAGGAAUAAUCCAAUUCUUAUGUCUACUAUGGGAAACGGGGUCCCAAUACCAUCUUUUCGACGAAGUAGACAAAGGGUUCCCAUCAUGUUCGAUCUGAGAAGAGACAUGGAGAAGAAGAUGUCCUCCUCAAGGGGUCAACGCCCUCGCUCAGAACUAAAGGAUCCUCGCACAUCGGCACUCACUGCAUAAGCUCAUAGGGCAAGAUGAAGAUCCGAAAAAAGGUUAAAGAUAUCAUCAACUUCGCCUUGGCAUGCUUCCAUCAGCGCUGAAAAGAGAACUAAGGCAAGGCGGGAUCCACUGAAGAAGAUCCUUAUCCUUCUCCUUCUCUUUUUCAAGAGGGAUCCACUGGAGAAGAUCCUUAUCCUUCUCCUUCCCCGACCCCAACAGUUUGGAAGAUAUCUUGAGAAAAGGUUUUAGCACCGGUGUAUCCUAUAUGUACUUAAGUUUAUUCAAAGUAUCCCAAUGGUGUAACGUCGUUGACUUCUUGGGAAAAAGGAGGAAGAUGACUUUAAUCUCUUGUUUCGGAGAAAUAAGUGGCAGCUAUAGCUUCAUUGUUCAUCUUCCGCUCGCUACCGGAUUAGUGAACUUUACCAGAAACCAAUUCGAGGAAUUUCUGACACAAGUAUUCAAUUAGUUCGGACUUGUUUAGUAUUGAAUUGGAACCAAGACAAAAAAAGUUAUUCUUGCGAAGAAGCCCGUGCUUCUUUUCACACUUUCCAAGAAAUUCCAUAACCCCCAGGAAUAAAGGACACUCAAUCAAGAUCUCUUCUAAUUUCAUAACGGCACCCGAAGCUCAUUGGGCUUUCAGAGGCAUAACAGGGAAAAGCGGACCAGCUAAACUCACUGCAAAGAAAGCAGUCGCAGCCGGGGAUCUCCAUUCAAAGGGAUAGAAGUAAGAAAAUGUUGGAAGAGAUAGACCUCUUUCACUUAGUUGGAUUUCCUUAAGCAUAUAGAAACCUAGCGUUUUUUAUCUUUCUUCAGGAUUUGGCCUGAACUGUUCGGCAGAUUCCCACGCGUUACGCACCCGUUCGGGCUCUGGUGUAUAGAGAAGACCUCACCGUUUAAGAAGUAACCAUAGAAAUGAAGGAACCCACUAUUUAUUUUUUUAUUUCUUUUAUUUACUAUAUUUUUGAUACCUAGGAAAAUACAAUUUCUUAUUUCUUUCUUAUUUCGCAGUGAAAUACCUAAAAAAAAAAAAUCAUGGUCUGGAAGGUUAGAGUAGCGAAAGCCAUUGGAAUUUUUAUUUUAUACAUUGAAAAAAUCCGUUUUGUUAUUAAUAGACUAGGAAGGGGGAAAAUUUGAUUUCUAAUUGUAACUAAAUCUUCAAUUUCUUAUUUGUAAAGAAGAAAGUGAAGCAAAAUAGCUAGGCAUUGUAGAAAGGAUAGAACGUGCGCCUAAUCGCUUUCUCGGAUCGCUCCGGUAUGAUGGUUCCCCCGGGGGGGCCGCCAAUGCAACACGAUAGAAGAGUUCGCUCCGACGUGUAAGAUCCUCAAAUCAAAAUCAACCACGACUACCAUCUGCGGUCUAUUUUCGUUCUCUUCCCUGCCCCGGAAGGGGGAUCAAAAAAGGGUAGUUUGCUUCUCUCCUGGGCGGAUGGCUACUUAUGUAGUGGUCGGCCUUCCUACCAAAAUACCUUCUUAGUCGAAGAGCCCCUUUUAUACUACUAAGGACGCAGGAAGCAAAGAAACUUACGGGAAGGACAUUUUCUUCUCUGCCCACUCCUCUCCAAAGGCCAAGGGAGAGACUGCAUCCCUUUCCUUCGGUAGCUCUUUUGGUUUCCCAAGGAUAGCAGUAGCUGGAGCAAAGCCUACUUUCUCCUCUCCGCGAAUGAGAGAGAAAGUCAGAGGAAAAAACACGUUCUCUCUUUGCGAGAUCCAAAAGUGGAGAACGCAUAGCAUUCUAUGGGUACAUAGGAUCAAAUGUAAAGCAGCGCUCUCUAGGCAGAGUUUUAGGUCUGCUUCAAAGCUUCCAGGUUUACUUGUUUUAUUUAUGGUUAUAGAGAAUAACUCGGUCCCUUGCUUCCAUUAGUCAGGCGCAUGGAUCUCAUCUCUUUAGCUAGAAUUAUUCCUUUUGCAUAUAUAUCUCAUCGAUAAAAAAGAAAUGAUUUGACUUUCCCGUAGCUUUCUUCAAAACUAUUUCUUUUCUCUUUUUUUCUCACCUCAUAGUUUUGAAAUAAAUGUCUUUUUUCUUCUUGCUUCGCCUUCGCAUAGAAGAACGAAAGGAGAAAUCAAUGCUCUAACUCCGGCUCUCUCGCCUACUCUCAGAUGAAAUCACUGACUCAAACCCAUUGUCGAAUCCUACUCAGCGGAAUAUGGAGGUACUUAUGGCAAAACGGGCCAAUCUGGUCUUUCACAAUAAAGCGAUAGACGGAACUGCCAUGAAACGACUUAUUAGUAGAUUAAUAGAGCACUUUCGAAUGGCAUAUACAUCACAUAUCCUGGAUCAAGUAAAAACUCUGGGGUUCCAACAUCUGUCACGUCGUCCCAUCCUUCUAAUGAUAUAUUGCGAGAAGCUUUACGAAGCCAUUCGUGGUCUAUUUAUAUAUAGAUUAUCCUUUCUUACUGUGACUCGAGAAUUGAUAAAAGCACAUUCAGUUGGUUACAUGGUAUACCCUAUAAGGGGAUAUUUAUAUGAGAAAGGGGAGAGGACAAAAGCGUCAGUUGUUCACUGCCUAUGGAAUAUAGGGAGUGUGAUACAAAUGCACUUUUCCACCCAGUGCUCUUUUCCUUUGGCAUCUCUAUUUCAGUGAAUGAUUCGCCGUAACAACUAUUGAUAUUUGGCUUUUUGUUUGUUCUAUAAAAGAAUGAAAGUGGGGUAAGCCAACAAACUUUAAAAAACCAUGAAAACAACGUUUGGAUCAAUAUCUGUUCAUUCCAAGGAAGCCCUUGAAGUAGAGUUCUUACUGAUGAGUUUACUUCCUGAUACGGAACUACGUGGCAAGGGUAUUGGUGAGUCCAAAAGGCAUAACCAGAUCAAACGCCCCCGGUCAUUCCGAUAGCUUAAACUGAAAAUAAGAAAAGAUAUGACAAUCAAAAGAAGUCUAUACCUGUAGAUGAAAGAGGACAAAACUUCUACCCCGAGCACACACAAUGGAACCAUAGACAGUUAAGUAAAAUCCAGGAAAGAGAAAGAGGGUCUUAUGGAGGGAGGGGGGAGAGAAAAGGCUUGGGCCUACCUAUCCCGAUAGGACCCCAUAAAAGAAUGAGAGCUGUGGAGAGGUUCCAUAUUGCCGAGACAAAGGACAGCACUUCUGUAUGUGACCAAAUUUUCCUGUUAAAAAGAAGAUCUCUCUUCUUCUUCAUUCUCAAGAGAAAUGCUUCAACAAAACUGCCCUUCCAUAUAGAUCGUCGUGGCAUGAACGAAUUUCUUCGCUUCAAUUCCGCCCCCGCAAUGCAAGAGAUCCUAUUCUUUGGACCAGAUGAAAAGAAAGUGAACUGAAGUCGACUCGACUCUAGUGCUGUAAAUAAGAAGAAAUCUUCAUUCAGUGCCGGUAGAAAGUGGUGAGGGCUCAGGAAGUGAUGCAAACUCGACCAAAGGACAAGUCUGUUCUUGCUUCGUUUUCGGUUCCCGAUUCAAUCUUCACCUUUCCUAAUCAUGUUUUUAUAAUCAAUUUGAUCCCCCAAUUGAAUCGGGGGCAAACACCUACGAAAAUAUCGCUUGAAUUUAAGAAAAGGUCACUGGAAUAGCUCAUUGUGGAGGGAGCAGAACAUGGCAGGGGUAUUGGUAAGUCCAAAGGCAUAACCAGAUCAAACGCUCCCGGUACUUUUUCUUGUUCAAAGCUUAGCCGCACUGAUGAAGUUGAAUGCUCCUUUCGGAGAUUCGGUUCUUUCACUCCGUUUCAGAGUUUGGAAUCAUAGAAGGAAGCUUUCCAGUCUUCAAAUCUGACUUCCAACCUGAAUUAGAGGGGAGCUCCAAUUUGAAGCGUAGGCUACUAAGGAAGGCCCCUUUCCUUUUGCAUUGUCUCAUCUCGUGCAGAAGGAGGUUGAAUAGUCUAAGAAGAUGGCAAAACUCAUUGGGCCUGCCGCUUUCUCAAUUGAAAAUGGAAACUUUGAAUAUCACUGAAUAAUUCUCUCACUUACGUCAUUUCUUAUCGUCAGUCAAUCUUCAUCAAGAUAGCUGACCGAGUCGAAACCUACUGCUCAAGUCUUUCGAACCCAUCCACAAAUAGCUAGAAAAUAUUUUAUUAUUUACGACUUUGCUGCGGCUGUACAACAUGAGAAAGAGUAUACCAAAUAAAGGUAAAACCCGCACUGGAAAAAUGUUGAACCAUUUCUAGCACUUUUCAAAAUCCAUUUUUUUGCAAUGCCUUGAGUGGACAAGGUAAGACAGUACGCUCACUAGAUCCAUCAUACUAUUACUAAAGUACACUGAACACUCACUGAAUCUCGACAUCAAUUAGAUCAACAAAACCUACGAGCGAGAGAAGAGAGCUUCACAUCAAGUCAAUAUCAAUAGAAAGAGGUGCUUCUAACUAAUUCUGUCUGAGCCUUGAAUAAACUACAUUCUCUUCGAUCCCUUUCCGGAACCAGCCCUAGACCUCUUCUUUUGAAUGUUUUAUGGGGCUACUUUUUCAGUCGCAGGUGCUACUACAACUAAUUAGUUCUUCAGUUGAUUGGUGAACAAAGAAAUUUAGUACGGAACAGUAAAGUUUAAUGGAUGAGUAGGCAAUCUCGGCACAGUAAAUUUUAAUGGAUGAGUAGGCAAUCUCGACACUAAACUCAUUGCAUAAAGAGACAGGCAAGACGACGGAUUUUAUUGGUGAGUCUUCCACUGGGGGGAACAAUGAUUCUUUCCCCUAAAGGGUAACAGAAUGGGGUGGGGUCUCCUCAACUCGCUUUCCCACACAGCUGCCUAAGAGAUUAUUCGACAACAGUAAAACGACUGACUGAUAUGAGAUUGAGCGAGGAAAUGCCAAACUCUCUCUGUUGCGCUAGUUAAUCAUAUGCAAUCCUUAAAGUGCAGCAGGGACACCUUUAAAGGAGAGUGAGCAUCCCUUUAAGUAUUUUUUUUGAUUUUGAUUUUCUUUUUUUUUCUAUUUAUUUCUCUUUUUUCUAAAGAACUCUUUGCUAUCCCAUUUAGGGAUUUUGGGUUCUCACCUUCUCUCUGGGAUUUACGUUUUAAGUGUCGGGGGAUCACUUCCUAUUUCGGGCCCUUCCAACCCCUCCUCCUCAGAAGAUUCAUCCAACCUCCAGGUCUUGUCGGAGCUUUGGCCCAUGACUCACAAUGCGCAAGUCACUCCAUUAGCUCUAUUAGCUAUAGGAAGAGGAUAUCGACUUAUUAAAGGGGCGGGCGGCAGUCGGACCUUUUUAUGAACUGAUAGCGCAAACUUUAUGUCAGAAUCAAUCUGGCAUUCCGCUUCGAAAGGGAUUUGUUACGCGCGAUAUGCCGAUGACUUACUACUGGGAAUCGUGGGUUCCGUCGAGCUUCUCAUAGAAAUACAAAAACGUAUCGCCCAUUUCCUAUAAUCUGGCUUGAACCUUUGGGUAGACUCUGCAGGAUCAACAACCAUAGCUGCAUGAAGUACGGUAGAAUUCCUCGGUACGAUUAUUUGGGAAGUCCCUCCGAGAGCGACUCUCAUAUAAUUCUUGCAAGAGCUGGAAAAGUGUCUACGGGUAAAGCACCGUAUCCAUAUAACUGCUUGCCACCUACGCUCCGCCAUCCUAUUGCGAAAACUGUCUCUGCAUAGGGGAAUGCCAAUGGCUUCAAGCAAGGAACGUAGUGUGACAGUUCCUCUGACAUUUUCUUGCAAUCUUCCUCCUAAUAUCUUUAACAGGGUUGUUUUCCCACUGCCAGAAGGCCCCAUUAAGGAAAGAAUUUCACCCUUUCUUCUUCGAAUAAGGAGCUUUUAGAAUGACUUCAAUUGGCACACACAACAUUACCCGCAUCAAGUUGACCGCCCCCCUACGUAGUGAUUCUAUCAAUCAUGACGUAGGUAGGACCCUCCAUUCUGAUUGGUAUAUCAUGAAAAAAGNNNNNNNNNNNNNNNNNNNNNNNNNNNNNNNNNNNNNNNNNNNNNNNNNNNNNNNNNNNNNNNNNNNNNNNNNNNNNNNNNNNNNNNNNNNNNNNNNNNNNNNNNNNNNNNNNNNNNNNNNNNNNNNNNNNNNNNNNNNNNNNNNNNNNNNNNNNNNNNNNNNNNNNNNNNNNNNNNNNNNNNNNNNNNNNNNNNNUGCUGGGACUUUAAUCCAUCUUCAAUGAACCAAUCAAAGCACCUAAGAUCGACUUGCUAAUUCGUCAUAUCUUUUGAAAAAGGGACCUGUAGAAAAAGAUUUGACGCGAAGGAGUAAGAAGGAAGGGCUGCACUACUAACAUAAAUACUACCGCGAACAAACUCACAACGGCAUCUAAGGGAGAGUAAGCAAAAAAAAUGUGAGCGCUCCUGCACUAUACGGACAGCUUUUUGGCGGUAGGGUUGGGGCUUGAGGCAGAUUUAAAAAAAAAUGGUUGAUUACUCAGAUUCGGGAUCAAUUUGACAAUGAAACUCUUUAAGCAAUGAUCUUAUCUAUGUCAUUUCUCUUGACGCGAUACAAAAGACGACUUUCGAGAGUUACUUAGCCUCUUGACCUCUUCUCUCAAAAAAGACGUUGUACGGGCAAGUCGAUCUGUAUAGGUUGGGAAAGGGCCGGGUGGAUUACCUUUGAAAGCUAAGUCGAAGAUCUCGGUGGUCUUGUGAGUGGUUGAUAAACUACGAUUGCAGUUUUCUUUAGGAAGUCCCAUAGCAGUGAGGCUUAACAGAUAAAGAAAAGGGUGGAUACUUUUUCGGGUAGAAGGUGACAACCCUAAUGAAUUGACUAUGAAGGUGGCUCUUAGCUACAUCAGCGCUCAAAUUCCUUAAUAGUUAUUGCCCAGGCUUCGAUGAUCAACCCCUGGCACAUUUAGGUUUUGAUCUUCGGCCAUCCUGGUCCUCAGGACCCAACACUAUAUUAUUCCACUAUAUUUCCUUUCAAAUGAAAAGAUGCAAAAGGUGUUGAUACGUCCUAUCCACAUAGAAAUCUUACCCUCUUCCACAUAUUACCGGUGGAUGCUACAGCUACUAUCACUUUGGCUUUUCUAAUAUUUCUAGUACCAACUAAUUCAUUCGGGCGAGACAUCUUACGAUGUCAUGAUGCGCCCAUUCCUAUGGCCAUUCCUUUAAUACUUCUGGCUCUCAGGAAAAUCUUUGUAGGAUACUUGGCCAAAGUGUGACCUGUUAGCCCAUAAGUAAGUACUAUGACGAAGCGGCUAUUGCUCACCCGACACGAUCAGCUCAAGCUUCAAAGGAUCCAUCAGCAGCAGCUCAAGUUUCAAUCUUUCUUCCUAACCAAAGCGGGGCACUCAAAAUCGUCGUUGCCAACGGUACAAUCUAUGGUGCCUCCAAGGCAUCCAGCCGAUCCUUAACCUUCCAAGUGAGAAAAAGUACACCACACUUUUUUAUCAGAUUUGCUCAGAAAUUCACAUUCGAUGAAUCCUAUAUUUAUUGGGGAAGGUUUUGAUUCUUUGCUAUUUCCUCUUUCUCCUCCCUAUUAUUUGAUUAGUGCUGCCUGAAAAGAGUUCCCCAUAAGAGGGAUAGUCAUAACAAGAUUAUGAUUAGCGAUUUUAGAAUGGGGAUUCUGUAGGGCCUUGGUGGCCCAUAAGGGGUUCAUACAACAGGUAUAAAGUUCAUCAAUCGGAAAUCAAGACAAACCGGGCACUACGGUAAGACGUGAAAACACCCGAUCCCAUUUCGACCUCGAUAUGUGAAAUCGUCUUGCGCCAUAUGUACUGAGAUUUUUCGGGAGACAUGGUCCAAGCCCGGUGAAAAAAUACAAUCAAAAAAGAUUAUGAUGUCAAAGCACCCUUGUUUUUCCAAUUUCCCAGCUACUGCGUGUUGAUUAUACUUAUUUAAGUAUGACGUUUUGUAUAUUUUGUAUUUUGCUUCUUUUUUUAUGGUUUUUCCUUUGAUCUGCUUAUUCCUGUGAAGUUAGUGUGAAUGGUUUCCAAUAAUACAAAAGAAAGAAUUUCCAAUUUACAAGAUAUGAUCUAUCUGGAUAGUUUGUUCUAGACAGUUUCCAUUGUUUUUGCUGUCGGUCUAGAUGAGGGACGAAGGGAUCUCCUGUCCUCUACUGACCCACCCCAAUCAGCAUUACUAUAGAUUUCUACUCUCCCAUGGCCAUGAUUAGUAUAGAUCAUACCUUUGCCAGGAUAACCUUUGAGGUACCUCAAGAUCCUGUAUACUACAUGUAGGUGUGCUUGACAAGGAGCAUGCAUAUACUGGCUUACCAACCCCACAGCAUAGGUAAUGUUAGGUGAGAAUUAAUCCCAAUCGAAUUUAUAGAAGGGAGACCCUCUAUUCUCUUAAUCUUUAGAGUAGAUAUUAUAUAUAGGAUAAUUAGUCCACUGCGGUGCAAAAGACAAGGCAAGAUAAAUAGGAAUGUUGAAGGGACAUAAGGCUCAGCUAAGGUAAGGAAAGACCCUGACCAUCUAGGUCACCAAUCUUAUUUUUUAGGGAGUCGGAGAUGAUCAAAGAGGCAGCAAAAUAGGAACUUUCGAUCAGGGAGAGCUCAACAAGGUCGAGACCAAGAUGAUGGAUAUUCCAAGAAAGAUCGAAGAAGAUGAAUGAAGGUUUAUACCUACCCCUAACUGGCGAACAUCCAGGGGAAUUGCUAGACUUGGGGUUGUCCCAUCAACUUCUAUUAGAAUAGACUCGAAAUGGGAAGCCCCUAGCGAAAGAAGUGUGGCUUCAAGUCAUGCGACUAAAAGUGUGUUUUCUUAAGUCUUUCUCUCAUUUCGAAAGAAGAAAGGGCUCGUGGAAUAGAAAGAGUUCGUUGCAUCAACAAAGUGUAGUAGUCAAAAAGGCUUAAUUAAGCUCACGAUGUGGAUUCGAACCACUUCUUCUCCUUAUUAUCGUGAGCAGGUCUGUCGUCCUCCUCAUUAUAGUCCUCCUAGAAUCCAGAGCAUUUCGUUGGGGUUGUGGGGCUUACUUCCUAGCCCCAGUGGGAGUAGUGACUAGCGUUAUAGGUCGUUGGGCGGCCGGAAGGUUGCCACGAGGUUUGGAGGAGAAUUGGCCAUUCAAUCUUGUGAACUAAUCGAGACCGAAAUUGGAAAAAGAGAUACGAACAGAGAGGAAUAACCAAUCGAUGAAAGAACAUAAAACUAUUCUGUUUCAAUAGAGGUACGAGAAACGGUUGGGGACAAUGAAGUAGGCGGAGAAUUGAGAAAGAGCUUAUUAGCUUAUUUCAAAUUCGAGUCACACACCGACCCGGGCAAUCACUAGCUACAAUCGAUGGAAUUUUGAUUGAAACUAUUCACUUAGUGUUCGCCAUGGAUGAUAGAAUUCCUCCUGGAAGCGAAGGUAGCAGCAAAGCCUAUUGAUUCACCAGUUUGCUAACCUACGUGUCGGCUACCCGCACUCUGUAACUAGAAUAGGGCUCUGGACUUAAAACCACCCGCUUUUAGAAGUCUGGAAGGCGGCGCCUAAACUAGUCGGACUUGCUUGAAUCGAUACGCUUACCGGACUUCUCUGCCUAUUCAAUUUAUUUUGUUGCAGACUCUUCCCCACGCCUAUUUCUUCCCCCAGCCCUGUAGUGGAGCUUUCCCCCCGCCCUAGGCCUAUUGAGAUCUUUCCCUGUGCAGGUAAUUUUGGGCUCUGGAGAGGAAUACCCGGAUCAUCGGAACUUCAACCAGAAGAGGUAGUCUUGGGUUCCUGGUAUAGGUAUAAGAAAGCCAGUAACCCUUUGCUUCGCAACCGUCGUCUUUUAGCUGAUUGAUGAGUGUCAAAGAUAGACGUGUCACGCCGCAUGAAGAAAGUUAUCAAGUUUAUUUCUGUGCCCCCUUUUUUUCGUCGAAAUAAAUUUAUGCACUAGAGUGCCCCUUUCGGUCUUGCGGCGCACUCACUCCCUUUCCUUCCGCUCACUUCUAGACCCUUCGCUCCCGGUUAGUGCUCUUUGUCCCGGUCUAUUCUGGGUGAUAUGAUAUCAUAUAGCCAGGAAAAAGGGAUCUACUAGUCAUCGCCUUUGAGCUGGUAUUACCUGGAGUGCUGUGUCCUAAUAGCCUACUGGUAUACAAGCACACCGUGCUCUAGGUUAGUUAAGCCUAUGAGCAUAAAGAAGGAAGUCUGCACCAGCCCACUAGCAAAACAAAAGGCAAGGAACUUUUUUCACUAGUAUAGUAUCGGAGACGAGGUUCGGUGGGAAAGUGAGCUGAUCUCGCCUUUGUUGAUCUGCUUUAAUAGAGUUGACCCUGCUACAUCGCGAUCGUUUAUUCCCAAUCAAGAGAGAAGAAAAAGCACACAAAGCACAGAUUCAUGUCCGUCCCUGACUCCAUUUCUUGUCUGAAAGAGAAAAAAAUAGGCUACCUUAUUCUAUGAGUCGAAGACAGCCUCAAAGCGCCAAACGAACGACCCUAACCAAUUUCCAGGCAAGAUCUAAGCCAAAUGAGCCUAAUCGUAACAAGCUUGAAUGAAAUCAAUGGGACCGGCUUAGCGAUAUGGCAGAUAGACCCCUAACAUUUCCUUGAUCUAAUGCUUUUUUUACGAGUAGAGUCGAUUCAGAUUAGGAGAGGGAAAAAACCUGAGCUCUAUGAUUUCAAAAAGGGGAAAGCAUACUACAAGGGGAAAUCUCCUAUUUCUAUCUAUUGAUGAGACAACUAUCUAUUCUUGAUCCAUCAGAAAGAAAUCGAUAUGUAUCUAAUAGAGUCUACAUCGUAUGUAGAGCGCCCAACCGCUUUUUAGGCCAGCUCAGUUCUCUUAUCCAUCGGUCCAAUGCACUGGGCUCAUCUCAUGGAGGGAAAAUCAAAAAUGUAGUUGUCUUAUUCGCCGCCUUGACGCAUUCCCUUCUCUCCCUGGUAUCGUCCCACACAGAAAGAAAGAGCGCAGAGCCCCGGCCCGACCUGCAGGUCCCUGGUAAUGACAGGGUAAAGGCUGCAUUAAUAUUAUCAGUGUGAAAUCCCAUGUUUCAAAUGAAACUAAGCCAUUCUCAUCCUAUAGGUUUUCGAUGAUUACAGAUCAGAUGGGUGUCAAAAAUGGUUGAGAGACAGCUAGGAGCUACCAUACGGUACACUAUGAUACCCCCGGUAACCUAUGUAUGAAGUGACUCGACUGAAAGGAGAGGGGUCAAAACUCACUGAUUGGAAAGGGGAGAAAAACAAAGCAAUGCCAAGAGCUUCGUCAAUCCGCUGUUCAUCGAUAGAUGGGAUUCUUUUAGGGUUCAUACAUGCAUUGAUCCAGUCGAAGAACCUGCUCCAGAGCGACAACUACCAAAAAAAAAGUGAAGGAGAGCCACUUUUUGUAUAGUAUAGAGUAUGACUAAAAUUCCAAGCGCUCCUAGCUCAGAAACCACACACAGACAAACAUAUGGAGGCCGCCAGACGAAAGAGAUCGGAAAGUUAAAGAUUUUUUUCCCUUAAGGCUAUCUAAGAGGCCUUUCUUCGUGCUUGGAUUUCUUCUCACGAGUUGUUGGGUGCGGCAUAUUCAUGGACUGGCAAAGCGAACUCUCAAUUUGAUCAGGAGAGCCUAGAGAGCUCUCUAUCUUUCUGUAUAAAAAGGGGUCGAGAACUACAUAGAUCUGAGACUUUCAAGAACCGAUGUUGUACUUCUUUAGUAGAAUGCUCCGUAAUCUAUCUAACUUUUCUGAAGCUGAAUUCAGGGCAGGUUUAAUGCUUGCCCGAUUUUGAGGACCCUUUAGCAGAAUCGUGGCUAGGGAACUAUACUAGCGACCUACCCAAUUUAUUGUAGAAAUUUUUGCGAUCAAUGAUUGGACCAUGCAAACUAGAAAUGCUUUUUCUUGGUUAAAGAAAUAGAUUACUCGAUCUAUUUCCAUAUCGCUCAUGAUAUAUAUCUUAACUCGGACAUCCAUUUCAAGUGCAUAUCCUAUUUUUGCACAGUAGGGUUAUGAAAAUCUGCCAAGGCUCGAAGACCUCUGGGACAUGGAACAGUACUUUAAGGCUGUUCGUGCCCCUUUUGAUGACCAAGGCACAAUGGCAACAAUCUAUCUCCCUGGGGAUGCGAAGAAUAUUUGAAACGACUUUCGUCACCACCUCUCACCUAUCCUACACAUUCGAUUAAGGUUGUUACUGCGAAGCUAUAGUUAAGGUGCACGGGGUCUUACUGUCUAGCCGUUGGUACUCCGCAUCUUCACGGAGAAUUCAAUUUCACCGAGUCCAUGUCGGAGAGGUUACGCUGCAUCACAAAGAGCAAUUGUGAGGAAUAGCCAUUCUAGAACAAUCAUUUGGUUUGGUUCAUUCUUUGACUGCUCUGCUCCCAGAAAGAGAGACUUUUUCUUGCUCACGGAAAUCACCGGUUGGGUUGGUCCAACCGAAAUUGAAGAUAAGUCUUUUGAUUGGGGGGUGACAACCGAGGCUUUUAAGAGAAGUUGCCAUAUAGGUUAUAAAGAGCUAUCUCAUAUCUAAUAGGAAUAAUCCAAUUCUUAUGUCUACUGUGGGAAAUGGGGUCCCAAGACCAUCUCUUCGACGACGUAGACAAAGGGUUCCCAUCAUGUCCGAUCUGAGAAGAGAGAUGAAUUUAGAAUACCUACGUCCUGGUAAACGAAAACCACCACGACCGGAUCAGAGUAAACAACACAAUGUCAAAUCAGGCCACCCUUUGCCUUGAAAGAUUUCACACGCGGCCACCAACUUUCCCAAAAUAAGGGGAGAUCUGCUGCAUACUGCUCACGGAAACAUCCGACCUGACGAAUCGGAUGCGCUCACCCAGCGAGAAAGGCCCUGACCCUACCAACCAGCAAUAUUGGAUAGAGUACCUAUGAAGAUGUCUUAUACUUAUAAAUCCUCUGUCGCACUUUCUAUGGCACGUUAGGAGCACCUCAGAAAAAGUAUAUUGGUGGGCAUGUCUACGAGCAAUCUUAUUAAGGCGAAUGCAUCCGUCGGAAGGUCUAUUCCUUAACUAAUAAUAAAAAUAAUAGACCAGAAUGGAUGUUUUCAAAUUCUUCGUCAGAGGAGAAUUGAUCACCCACCUUUAUGCGAUGAAUGGACAGGUUUUCCAAUGGUGCAGCUUUACCUGGCAUUCUAUUAUAUAAUUAAUAUAGAAUUAUAUAAUAUAGGGUCAUCGGUCGAUAGGUCUGUCUACUCCCAAGCUUGAUUUCUCUAGUUGGUACUAGAAUUGCUAAUGGGACGGUUAAAGACUGAAAUCUGAGAUCGGUUCCUCUUUUGGGGAGUUCACUCUCAACCAAGCGCGGGCUUUUCUGCUCUCUCCAGGAAAGAUCAAAAGGUCAGAAGUGGAUUCGCCCUGUGUGCUUCUCGCGACGUGCUUAUUUUAUUAGUAAUGACCGCCCUUAGAUACCGUUGCGAGUUUGUUCGCGGUAGUAUUUACCUUAGUAGUGCAGCCCUUCCUUCUUCCUUCUUCACGUCAAAUCUUUUUCUACAAGUCCCUUUUUCAAAAGAUAUGACAAAUUAGCAAGUCGAUCUUAGGUGCUUUGAUUGGUUCAUUGAAGAUGGAUUCAAGUCCCAGCGGAAUUACAGCUAUGCCCUUUUCCGAAAUGCCUGACUUUGUUGAGCAGCUACUUUGCAUCCCCUUUUAUAUAGGCUUUCCGCUUUUAGCCGUUCUUUUUUUCUCUGCGGCCUGUGUGGGACUGAUCCGAACUGAUAACCCGAACCCUUCGUAGACUGAACUCUCUUCUCUUUGGACUCGCGUAGGUUAGGGAACUCGCCUCAUUCACUGCUUCCACUCCAACUCGAACUAAAAACCUCUUCCUCAUCUUGACUCAGGGCGUCUUCAUCAGUGAGUAAAUCCUCAUCAUCAUCCUCUAUAAGAUAAAAGAACCUAACUCUUGGGCUUGUGAAGACUCUUGGUGAGGCUGUUCCAAGUGUGUAGGCCCCACAUCUUGCUCAUCUCCCCCUGUUGGGGGUCUUACAGUAGCUAUGGACAUAGAAGGAAUUCUUUGCAUGGCUUUUAACGUUUGGGUUCAAUAACAUUCACCUUAGUGGGACCCCCCAGCGCGAAGCCAGCUGAAGGAAGGUCGUGUUAGCGCCCCCUAUUUCACUAAAGCAAGAAGGAAGAAAGUUGACUUUGAGAAAGAAGGGCUUCUAUUUAGAUUAGGUCCUAGAUCAAAAUAUUAGGAAUCAAAGCAAGGAAAGUAGCAUUGAUGGAACGGGGGAUCGCACCUUCAGCGAAGAAAUAAGGUGACCAGCUAGAAAUUUUUUGAAAUCCCAACAAUAUUCUUAUUUCUUUAUUCCAUAUUUAGAAAAAGGUUAUUGAGACCUUCAAGCGAGAAAGGUGCUACGUCGGGGCCUCCUCAAGGUAAUUCGGAACCACUUUAAGGCUGUUUAUUGACCAUAGCAACGCAAUGUUCAGUGGUGGGGCAAAGCACUAGCGAGAAGCUUCCCUUGGGAUUGUUUUCCCAGGCAAUUUGCCUUUUUUGCGCUUAUACGCUUUUCUCUGUCUUUGAUGUCAAGCCCAGUCCCAGUGACCCAUUGGCGGUAUUGUAAUAAUAUUGCUUGCCACUCUUCGGUCCGGUAAACCAACUCCAACCAAGCCCAACACUUAAGAUGGCACUACUUCAACACUCAAUCGCACAGCAUUAAAGGUAGCGAGGCUGACUGGCACUUGCGAGGGAGUUUAGUUUAUAACCUCGUAGGCCGGGAAUGCCAUCAAGAACCCUUUUCCUCUUGGUCUCAGUGUCAGCCAAGUUAGCAUCGGCUCUAUCAUUUGAAGCUUAUGACAUUGAUGAGUGAUCCAACAGUCUUGAGUGGCAGUUCUCCAAGGAGAAGGGAUCCCAGGUAGGAGAGCCAGCCGAGCCAGGGGAAAGCGGUAGUCAAAGACUACCCGGGAGUAGGUUCUAGAAUUUAUUCAGAGUUGUCACUCCUCAAUCUUCGAAAUUCCAGCGAUAUACGACUUGAUACUUAUCAGUGCUACAUCUUGCUAACGUCGUCUGAAUUUCCUUGAAAGCGCUACAUCUAUAUGGCAAGCCCACAUCGCCUUCGUCUCCCAUUGUAGUCGUAGAUGGCAGCAGGAAAGACGGGAGCACGAACGAGGUAGCUUAUGCUUUUUUUCAUCCUCACUACCGGAUCACCUUUGGUCGAAUUAUUACGCGGAAGCGCUAGUGUGGGACAAUCUACUUUGACUCAUUUUUAUAGUUUACACACUUUUGUAUUGCCACUUCUUACUGCCGUAUUUAUGUUAAUGCACUUUCCAAUGAUACGUAAACAGGGUAUUUCUGGGCCUUUAUAGAUAGAGCAAAAAAAAUAUAUCCUAAAUAUUUGUAAUCAAUCAUUUAUCACUUGGUGGAGGAAUAUAUAGUAUUUCAUUGCUACAAGUAUGGAUUCACUGACGUCUAAGCUCUCAAGGACUUGUAUUAGUCAACAAGAAUGAAAUCUAAGAAAGCUGGUAGCUCGAGCGAGGAACGGAGCCUAUCCACUCAAUGGCCAACGGUCCGUUACCGAUUUCAAGUCAAAGGAAUAACAUUCAUUCUUCUUUCCUCUUCUCAAUUUCAGCAAGGGACGCUCUUGGUCGAAAGUCCCAUCCGUUGAAAUACGAGAUAGAACUUCCAUUGCCCACUUAUGAAUAGGAAAUAGAAGUCGCAAAAUACGAGGAUGACAUGUGGCUAGGGGUGAAAGGCCAACCAAGAUUGGAUAUAGCUGGUUUUCCUUGAAAUCUAUUUCAGUAGAGCGUAUGAUGUCGAUGGCCAAAGAUAGAGCACCUCAUACAGUGCUUUUUCAUUUGAUAUAGCUACCAACCAUUCUCAAUCCUUAGAACUAUGAUAGGACACCGUCAGACGAUUGAGUGUUGGCGACCAAGAAGCUACUCGACCGCGGCCGUCCUACAGCCGCCCGAAGAGGAACUGCAGUGAUCUUGAAUAGGGAUCCUACCCUAAAAAGACUAUUUCAACCCCCAACUAUUUCUCUGACCCCCUUUCCUUAGCAGUUCCAAAUUACUUAUCUUUCUCAUUCAGUAGAGUGUGGGUGUGAGUCAGGCGUAGUAUCCUCACUGUUCUUGUUACAGAAUCGACUCUGAACGCUGUUCAUGGUUAGCUGUAAGAAAGAAUAGCGAUUGUUGAAGAAGUUUGCUCUUUCGACGACUCUUAUUGCUCUAAAUAAGCUCUCAGCCUUUAGGAGUGCAGGCACGACUAGCUUACUCCAACCUUCUUGUGUGACCGCAUGUUGGAGAAAAGAGUUCCACAUCUUACUCUAACGUCAAUGUUAGGAUUUCAGUCUCUUUAUUUUAAAUAAAUAAGUUUCCAUUUGAAAAGUUUCAGUCACCGGUAACUAAAGCGUAUCGUUCCCGCAACCACUUUGGUACUUUUUUUAUAGCUUUUUUAAGUUAUACAAUAGAAGGGGAGGGCUUGCGCUUGAAUUGAAAGUAGCGCCUUUGGAAUAUGAGUAGGGCUUCUAAGUGGCGCGUUCAUGGAGGCAAAUCGAAGGAAGAGAAAAAGGAAGGUUGGGUGUUUGUGGGGCGCGGCCAUCCGGCCCCGAAUAGGAGGGGGCAACGCUCUGGAUCCUCCCUGCUUGCAGAAAUGAAUGGAUCAAAAAGUCAUCUCGGGAGAGAUACGAUCGGGAGGAGCUAAUUCAAACCCCUCCGGUAAAAUAAGAACAAACCCCCACGUUCAACCCCCCUUUUUCCCUCUAAAGCCCCUCGCUCCACUCAUUUUGGAACUUCUAAUCAAACCUGGCUGAACUUGGAACGACAUAGAUCAAAGGGUCGUUCAUUAGCCCUACUAGUCAAAUACAGGAAAAAGAGGGAUGGAUUUCGACCUUGCUUUUUUAGGUCUCAGGCUAGCUUUUGACUUAUAUGGCGCUUAGACUUAGCUCAUCAAACAAGUGCACCAAAAGUGGGGGAUGGUAUCAUAUUCUCUGUCAAGUUGGUUGGCAUCAUUAGCUCCUUUCUGUCUUUUGAUUGUCCGCCUCCGCCCGAAUAGAUACGCACUAACCCACCUGAAAUAAGGUAGGAGGACAGAAAGAGGUAAUACACGAUCAAAGGAUCUAACAAUAGUCAUAUGAUUGAAGGCUCAGCGUGCUUCCUAGAAAUGAGGUUUAUCCUUAGCGUGAGGCAGGUCUUCUUUCCCACCAUGCCCGCCAACCGCCCUCACUUCGCUCGUCUCUGUUAUUCAUUUUAUGUAGAAAGAUGAGACCCAUUAGGAGAUAACCAUGGCAUAAUCUAACCUGAGCCACACAAAGACUCCCUUAACAGUGCGAGCACUCCUGAAAAUUGGAAUAAUCAGAGGCGCAUCUUUGUGAUAUGUCCAUGAUCCGAGGUUUAGCUAGAAUUUCGUAUGGUGAAGAGGAAAGGAAGAAGUCAUUGUAAAGGAAGAAGAAAUUGACCAUUUCCGCUGCCUGCCUAAAUGUUGAUUGGUAGGUCUUAGGUUCUCUGUAAGUAGAGUGAUUGCAAAAACCUAGGUAUGUUUAUUUAACCUAAUAAUAAUAGAAGGUUUGAGUUGUGAUAUACUAUCCUCUGCAGCUGUAGCUAUGUGGAAGCCAGCUGCUUAAAGACUAGACCCCUAACCAUUCCGCUAUUCCUGCCCUAAAGCAAUGGAAUCUGCUCUGACCCACAACCCCUUGCCAGAUUGACAGUGAAUGAAUCCUUGUCAGACAAGUGCUUUCCUCGCUACGAACUACGCGAACUUAAUUGACUUGGAACUGAAUGUACUGAAACAACCAAGGCUCAACUCCUGUUGGUGCACAAACACUACAUCCAGCAAAAAAAAAGAGAUCCCCGGCUGUGACUGUUUUCUUUGCAGUGAGUUUAGCUGAACCCCUUAAUCCAGGACUUCGAGAACUUUACCAAUAUUAGGAAUUGGGGUGCUAAUGCUUGCGAAAGUCAUUAAAGUGUAAGCUUUACUGCCUGACAGUAUGGAGUACUGACCACACCGAGGGACAGGCCCUGAAGCAAAGAACGGGAAUGAGCGGAAUCAAUGUGUUCUAAUUUCUAGCCCUGCACCGACCAUCCAAUGGACCAUGGACUAAACGGCCACUGCCUGAAAGGACUAUGUCCAGGGGACCGCCGCCCCUCCCCCCACAAGGUACAUCUCACGCCUAUGGGCUGCUAUAACUAUCCAAGAAGACACUCGAAACUAGAAGGAUAAACAAACCCACCCGGUGGACUGCUGAGCUACAAGUCCUAUGACACAGGAGCGGAAUUCUCUAAAAAGCCAAGGUUGUGGGUGGCCAAGAGGGCCUACUUGUGGGAUCUCACCAGAAAAUGCGAAGGUUGCAACAAGCCGGCCGGCCAAAGAGAAUUAACUAGUUUAGUUCUGAUCUGAGUAGGCUCAUAAUAGGGAAUACCCUAACCCUGGGAACCGAGGCCUGGCCAUCCUUCGUUUGUGGUCAACGUUUUGGCUUUGUCCGUCGACAGCUGAAUAUUUUGAUCUGGUUUGAUUCAUGAUGAAUCUAAUCUUUUGCAUCAAAACCGAUUACAGUCUCUUUCCCAGGGUCAGGCUACUCUAGAAGAUCAGCAGUCUAGCCCAGUUGCUUCCCUUCCAGUCGCUUUCUAAAAUUAUGGAUCCCGCUCUCAGCUUCAUCGAUCCCCUCAAGUUUCUUAUCCUGUGAAGGCUUAUGAAUUGUUUUCCCCAAAAGAUCAAGCUUACCUCAUCUCAGUUCGAUCUUCUCAUGAACCUGAAUCAUUUGCUAAGAUGCUUUCACGUCAGAAGUGGGAAAUCCGCAGCAUGUUAUUCAGUCACCCUACUCGGGUGGGAACUACUAUCGUCGAAAAUACCUUAAAUAGGUAUUUGUCCUAGAUGGAACGGAAGGGCACGCGACAGAGUCUACCCUAUCUAAGGGUGAUUCGCACAAGCCGGUUUUAGGUCUGAAUGGGUUCGGCUGGCGAAUUUGGCUUUGCUGCGCCCAGGUGGGUGUUACCUCCACAAGAGUUGCACUUCCUCUUGAAUGCACAGAGAGCUUGCCCAUUUAUGUGAAUGCGAAACAAUACAGUGCUAUCCUCAAAAGGCGAUAGGUCCGUGCCAAGCGUCAGGCUCAAAAUAAGCUUGUCAAAAAUAGAAAGCCAUAUCUUCACGAGUCUCGACAUCUUCAUGCAAUGAAGAGAGCCUGGGGUUCUGGAGGGUGAUUUUUGAACACAAAAAAUAUGCAGCAAUCCAAGCCUUCAUCUCUAAAGCACGAUAGAAAUAUCUUUAAUCGUCAGGCAGGUGGUUUGGAAAUCGAACAAUUCCUUCUGUCGUGUAUCCUCGAUUAAUGCAACCUCAGAUACUAUGCUUCAAUUCUCGAUUCUAGUAUUAAGCGAAAGGUUACGCCUAGACGUUCUGUAUUAUGGGUCAAUCCUACUCUACUAUGUCCUGCCUGCACGUUAGCAAGUGCCUCAGGCCCUGCUUCUCUUUUCCAAUAAUCUCAGCCGAGUACUUCGUUCCUCUCCUUUUAGGCGAGCGCGAAGGAAGAAUGCUCUUCAUCUCCCCUUGCCGUAAUUAUCUCUAGAAGUCGCCCCUACAACCCCUUGACUCCUGCAUGAAAGGGAUCGAACGCUCUAUUAGUGGUCGACUGCCACCUUUAUGCUUUGGAUUCUCUGUUCCCCCGAAAGAAAUAUCGAUCGUCCUUACCAUUUCAGUCCUCACCCGGCUCUCGGCUGAGUAGUAGAAGCAACUUUGAAUUUAUUAUAAGCCCAAACGAUGGAUUCAAUAAGUUCUUGCCAAUAACCACGUCCGCUGAAUAGAAACAUUAAACUAAAAGCCCAAACAAAAUGAUCACCUAGGAAAAAAAGGCCAAGACUCAGUCUUUCGUUUCAGAUCAAUUCUUCACUGUAAUCGCUUCGAUCCACCCCCUUGGUGAAAAACUGGUAGCGAGAUCUUUCGUCGGUCGAAAUAAUGUGGAUUUGCUCCACACGUAUAGAAGUCCAAGGAAGAGAUGUCACAUAUAGAAAGAAGUUUAUCUUUAAGUUUACAGCUGGUUGGUCCAGCCUAUUCUUGAAAUAAAUAACUCGUACACACUACCUUUCCAAAAAAAAUCAAUACACCAAGCACUACACUUAGAUUUAUUGGAUUUGUUGCUAAACUAUCGAUAUUAAACUCGAAACUCCCGACAGAUGGCCAGUGGCCCAAAGAAACGAAAGAAUCGAUUACGUUUUUCAUAUGAUCUCCUUUUAUAGAUAGACAAAAAAAUUAAACAGAGUUCUUUUUGUAGCACUUCGCCCCUCUUUUUAUUUAUUCUUUUAUUUUUUCUAAAAUUGAGUAAAAAAAUCAAAAAUAUUCGAGUUAGUUAUAAAGGUGAAAAGGUUACCUACCCUAUGAUCCUCCUUAUCUUACAGAGGUUUACUACGAGCCAUACCCAGCGGGAUACCCCUAUCUUUCGCCCUAUCUCCCUUACGCUCCUUCCCUUGCCAAUGGAUCAGAAUCUUUUCCAACAACGUCCAGGACUCUAUCGUUAAAGAGCUUUUUUUCUUUUCUUAUGAAUAUUGCUUUUGGAAGCUCUCACUUCUUAUAACUUAUAAUAAUCUCUGACAUGAGACUUAUGAACUCAUUGGUUUUCUGCAGUUGAGUUGAGAAAGGCAAUAAAGUGGACAGGGACGUGUCCUAUUGAGAAAUGAAAGAAGAUGAGCUCAAACCCUGAACGAACGAUCUAAGUAAGGAGGUAGCUCCAGGAAGGUAGUUCUUUAACCCAGUUCAGUGAGACCGGGGCUUAGAUCUUUGAAGCAGAUGUUUAAGAAAGUUUCAAAAUGCUUACUCGAAAGAGUAAGGAAGAAGAGCUGCUUUUAUUUAAGCGGAAUCAGAGCUCUUGGGUAAGAAGGCAGGAAGAAGUUCACACCAGGAUUGAAGAAGCUGGUUUGAUAGAACCAGGGUCAGCGAAAGACGAUGGAAAAGGUUGCUUGUAAGCGUGAUCCUCUAUCCUCUCUCUUUCUAUCAUCAGAGAAUCAAUCUUGUAGCCUAGCUAUGUAGCAGGCUCAGAGCGUUUUGAUGGAGGAAGAACCGUGGAUAUGGAAUCUGCUGCUCUGGCCGUUGUUCUGUUACCCGGUCUUGGUGGUGUACUUAUAGGAGGUGUCGUACGGGGACGCUGUCUGAUCCUGCCGACAGGAGCAAAGGAAGGCCUCUUUUGCGGAAAUUCUAUAUAAUUAUAAAUGUAGAAAGGUGAGGGUGAGGUAUUUUCCCCAGCAUACGGAAAGAAAAUCCAAGAUGACGGCUUUCAAAAGACGAGUAAGGGACACGGAGAGGGCGACUGAAAAGAAGGCUCGACCUACAGGAAGAGGGAGGCUCUCAAAACCAAAUGAGACUAGAAAGAACAUGGGAAUGAGCACCAUUCAUAUGAGUGCUUUUGUUUUGUCUCUUCGAGACAACAAAACAAAAGGACAGCCCUCUCUAUAUCUCGGUCUCGGUUUAGCAUCAUAUAUCGCUCUGGAGAGCAUUUUUUUUAGUUGUAGUAUGGAUGAUAGAGUAGCUCCUCUAUGCUGUGGGUGUGGAGGGGGGCUGUCGUCGCCUGAUAGAGGCAGAAGCGGGGGCCACCAUAGCUAUCUGCGUCGAGUAUUUUGAUUGAAAGAGGAAGGGAGACAACUCAAAUGCCAGCAUAGAAAUAGAAAGAGUCGUGCUUCAAAGUAGAAUUCCUCUAAGAUCCAUUAAUUGAUUUUGCUGCAUACUCUACUCCCAAAAUGGACUUCAGCAAUGGUAGCUACUUCUUCUUCAGUCUGAGAAUCCGCCUCAUUGUCGCUUAUGGCCUGGGCGGCUUGGUUUGGCCGAGCCUGUGGGCGUGGUGUUUUGUCCGUAGUUGGAUCAUUCUAAUUGCUGUUUCAGUUCACUUCAUCAUUUGAGGAGUGGUGGCACUUUACGAUUAUAGUCAGCUAUUAGUGCGAAAAUUUCUCCUUCUUUCUUUUCUAUUAGUUGAUCGCUUUCUUACUUUCCUAGUAGCGAAGGAAAGGAGCUGAAAGCCACUGUAAGGAAAGGGCAGGGAUUUUUUCGUAGUAAUAGUGGGCCGGUCUCAUGAGAUCUAUGCCGGCCAUCGGAAUCAAAUGAAGGUCGAAGGACCAUUCAAUUCAUUAAGGGGCAUAGCGGCGCCCUCGCCCGGCGCCAUUUCCGGACCUAGCAGCAGACGGGCGGGUCAUGCCUGAAUUCAGACCAGACCAGACUCUUCUUUGUUUGAGCUGCUCCCAGGCACACAGACCGAAGAUCUCACUUGUCCUGGACAAGUACGUAGAGAUCUUUGUGGGACCGUGGAGGGAGUCUCAAUCGAUCUUUUCUAGGAUUCCUUAUCACGCCACACAUGAAGAUCUUUCGCCAAAAAAAUCACAAUAGAAAAAGUUCUUCUUGCCAGGUCUCCUCUUCCUUCAUUUCGGUUGCUUGUUAGCUUACCGGCUGAACCAUCAUCAUCUGCUUACUUGGUCACUUUCGUGAUAAGGCGCUUAAAAGGAUUCUUGAUCAUAUAUAUUUUGGGAACUAAAAGAGUGGCUGGUUGAAGGGAAAGGGAAGCCAGAAAAUCCAGAUAUCUUAAACAAGUUUGCUUACCCAUCGUUAUCUGGCGGGAAGUAAGCGCCAUCGAAAGAUAGAGUGUCAAACAGUCAAACUUUGAUACCUAAAUUCAUUCAUCCAAAGACUUUUCCAUUCCUUGAUCCGUGGAAGAGCAUGAUACACUUACCAGUUCCUAGAAUUGGCAUUACUCUAACAGAGAAAUGCCCAAGAAAGAUUGUUAUAAGAGAGAGAGCACUUUUAAAGAACAAAUUGUUCAUAAUGUAAUUGUUUCUAUGGAGAAUGCCGCUGAUAAAACCAAGUCCUAACUACAUACGUAUCCAGAAAUAUAAACAAAGUAGCUACUGUCAGUGCCAUUACUAAUGAGAUCCAAAUAGAUUUUGUUUAGCCCGAGAAAUUGUUCUUUGAGCUCUUCGUCCAUAAUAAAGGAAUGCUCAACCAAAUCUUUGAAACGGAGUCCUUUCAGUAAUUGCAGAGUUCCAUUCGUAUCUCUAUACUCUUUCCAAAGAAUCUCUAGUCUCGAUUUGGUUUUUUGUUUCAGUGAGAUUGUCAUGGCGCAAAAGCAGAUAUCAUCCGAUAUUCCCUUAUUCCCUGUAUUGGUUAUGUUCUUUAUAUCUCGUCUAGUAAAAACUAAUCGAGCUCCGUUUGAUCUCCUAGAAGCGGAAGCUGAAUCAGUUGUAGGCUAUAAUGUAGAAUAUGUGUGGGAUGCAAUCCUUAAUAGUUCACUGUUGGCAGAAGCCAAUGUCCCGGGGUCUUGGGGACUCAUUCUGACUGAAACAAGGGGCAAUUGCAGAAUUUGCACCCCGCAAAUUUCUAUGUGUUCGAGUAUGUAAAUAAAUUGCAAAUACAAUCCAAGUAAUAAAUGCCUAAGUUUCUUUUGGGUCCCAAUUCCAAUACGACCCCCACGCUUCAUUAUCCCAUACCGCUCCCGAAAGGAUUCCUAUGGUUUAAAAAGUAACUCCUAAACUAAUAACCCGAUAACUCCAAUAAUCCAAUUGUUGUGACCGACGGUUGCUUGCAAGAGGUGGCGAUCGACAGUGUUCCAAAGCGCCAUAACGACGUGCGUUAGAGCGUUAUGGUUGCCAAUCAAGAUAUCUUUCUUCUCAUGGAGAGUGUGAUGGCUUUCACUUUCGGAACGUCGACUUGCACUUGCAAUAUAGAAUUUGACUUUCUGGAAUCCUUGCUCCUGGCUUAUAUUCACAUAGGCCACUCAUAAUAAUAAGAUGUUUAACUUCCUAAAACACGUGUAAUUGAGAGAGUCAUCAUAUCAGUGCCUUGGGGAAAUACCUACCUUUAGGAGAAAAUUACCGAAUGAGUUUCAAACCUGUCCUCUUCGCUUCCCAAGAUAUUUAGGGAAAGGGGCAUUCAGCCACUUGACUCGUUGGAAAGGGGCCUUGUCGGCCACCGCUUGCUGACGACGGAAUGCAUCGUCAAUUAAAGGGUCCCCGCCUUGGACUUAGUUGGAAAGGUAGGUAUUCGGCAUGUCCCUUGCUUGCGAACUUCUUUAGUAGGGUAGAGGUACUAUUCCUCACGUUUACCCUUGUCCCCAGACUUUACUCUUUCAACACUUGUAUACUUUCUAAAGAGUCAGGCAUGCCCCUGUCCCUGUCUCCAAGUGUGUGAUCCACUGAUUCACUGAGUGACUUUUUCUUACCGCUGUGCUGGAGUCCCUAUCUCUUAAAGGGUUGGUAUGGAAGACUUCCCCCUUGUUUGCCGAUUGAAGAAAGCCUUAUAUGGCUUCAAACAAGCGAGAAAGGCCCAUUCUAUCGUUAUAAGUCAAGCGCGCUAGCUACAAUCAUUGAUAGAUAGGUAGGAAUGACGAUAUGUGUUCCCACCAGGGAUGAAAUAUUCUCAAUGCACGAUUUAGCGAAGGCUGAUUGCAGUGGGUUUGGCUUGAACAUAGGCUCAAACAGAAUGUGAAGGGUCCUAGCUACGCCAUGCGUUCAAUACAAAAUCUGGAAAGCUGUAGGGAUGACAAAAAGAGGGCAUUUUCCUGUCUUCAGCUUCCUGCAUGGUAGCACCCAUGUGAAAAGGGAAGCCAGAGACUCUGAACUCUGGCUGCUGGAACAUGUCACAUCCCUAUCAGGCGAAAGUGCCACCAAUACUCUUCCUCAGCCGCAAGUGCGUCAUGAUCAUCCAACCGCUUUUUAUGUGCGCGUACCCAAUAAAAGGGCUAGUUCAUUAGUUCAUAAUUUAUAACUAACUCGAAUAUUUUUGAUUUUUUUACUCAAUUUCAGAAAAAAUAAAAGAAUAAAUAAAAAGAGGGGCAAAGUGCUACAAAAAGAACUCUGUUCAAUUUUUUAGUCUAUCUAUAAGAGGAGAUCAUAAGAAAAACGUAACCGAUGUGUUAUAGCUCAUAGCUCUAAGCCCCAAUUCCUUGGUGAUUACCUGAGGUGAGGUUGCCCUUCUUUCUGCCUUAGAAGAGGUAUAGUUUAGGCCAGUGCUCUACUCUAUUUUUCGAAUAAAUUUCUUUAAGGAAAUAUCUAUGAACUUAGCUCGGACUAAAUCCGCAUCCGCCUCUGUAGCUCUUCUAUAAGAGCGGACCUUUUUCUAGUCCUAUUCUUUUCUCUUAAGUUCCUUUUGGAACACUUCAUGUUGGGACGUCUGCACCUCUUUUUAUUUUGAGACAACCACAGGUUCCACUAAUCCUGCUCUAUCCAGUUUGAGGUCGUCUAAACCUGAUACCCUACUCCAGAUUCCACUCUGCUCCUACAUCAAAUUCAGCCUCCUCCGUAGCUCACGUUCAUAGAGGGAGACUUCCCAAACGAAGACUCCAGGUUACUGAAACGAACACAAGACUUUAGAAAGCCACCCAAUGUAGGAAGAAUUACCUCUCAUCUGUUCUAGCUACUCCACACUUGCCUUAAAAGCGCCUACUUUUCUUUCUUCAUAAAGAUGUAUAAAGUUUGAUUAAAUUGCGAUAGCUGAGAUAAAAGCUAUAUUAUUAUGCGUGGAGCCUUUUAGAAAAUCCCUUGCUUUUUUAUAUUGUCGGAGACUGAAAAGGAGGCUCAACCUACAGGGAGAGUAGUAGGCAGGGAUUCUCUACAAUGACAGGGGAGCUAGUACAAGAAAACUAUCUUAGAGCCUCUUCACUUCCUAAGUCCCCGAGACCUACCAAAUCCUCCUAUGAAAUUCCUAGUCCCCUUCUUCAUCCUUCUUUUUAACCCGUCUACUGAUCUGACUUUUAUUAGUUUGGUUCACUUCAUAAAUGACAUCCUGUCAGUUAGCAUUCAAAUGCUACUAUAUGCUUAACACAUUGACUUCUAUUUAAGUAAUGAUGUGCUCUAAGGGAGUCUUCCCAUCCCGAAUCUACUUAUCGAUACUCGUCAAAUCCAGUUCUUUCAGUAGGAGAGCGACUACUGCAGUCAUAUCCUGUCUUUUCUUCUAUCUCCUCAUCAUUCAGUCAGUGAUCUAGUUGCAUUCUAUCUUGAAGCGAAUGCAGCAUAAGGUCGCUUGCGCCUUUCUUCCUUCGUUCUCCUCGCUCCGAACCUUAUUCAAAGCAGAAAGACGAUGAUCUCAUACUAACCCUACUGGCCCUUCUUGUUCAUAUGUCAAGGGCUGGUAAGGUUUUGCGCAUUGUAUCGAAUUAAACCACACGCUCCACCGCUUGUGUAGGCCCCCGUCAAUUCCUUUGAGUUUCGAUCUUGCGACCGUACUCCCCAGGUGGAGUGUUUCACGCGUUAGCUGGGCCCCUGAUUCGCGUAAACCCGGGAUGGACAAAGUCAGCUUGAUCUAAUGCUUGCUAUCAUCUUGCAAAGAAUGUUUUUAGUCCUUUUCCCUAUCUGUCUACUGAAAAUGGCUUAGAAAUAGGUCCCCCUUUGCAGUAAUUUGUAAGGAACCUCGGGUCUCGCAGGGGAGAGAGCGUGCUUAGCUUUUUGCUAAUGAAUGAAUUCCUCUCAAAUGAGGAAAAGGCUUUUUCACGAGAAUGGAAUCUGGGAUACGAACUAAGAUAUCUCGUUCAAAAUGAUGCUAUUCAAUAGUGCCUUCCUUAGAAGGAAUUUCCACAGGGGCAUCGCGAGCAGCACACAGGGCGAAUCCACUUCUGACCUUCUGAUCUUUCCUGGGGAGAGCAGCAAAGCCAACAGAAAGUUUUUUUAUCAAUUCCCAACAACCAGAAUGAAAUAUUAUUUAAUCGUGGAAAUGCCAUGUCUGGCGCACCUAUCAGAAUCGGAACAGACCAAUUACCAGAUCCACCUAUCAUCACCGGCAUAACCAUAAAAAAGAUCAUUAAAAAAGCAUGAGCCGUUAUUAAAACAUUAUAAAGUUGAUGAUUCCCACCAAGAAUUUGAUCGCCGGGUCGUGAUAAUUCCAUACGAAUCAGUACUGAGAAGCAUGUGCCCAUCACUCCAGCAAUGGCACCGAAGAUGAAAUAAAGAGUCCCUAUAUCCUUGUGGUUAGUGGAGAACAGCCAUCGGACCGGAUUUGUCAUAAAAUUGAGAUUAUUUUGUUUCUUUCCUUAUCAGAAAGGGGCCCACGGGGUAUGCUUAUCUUCAAUUAGAAGAUGGUCACCCGCCCUAAGCAAGAUCGGUUCAGCCGGCCAAUUCACGAAUCUUCCGCAGAGUACCAGCGCCAGCCCUAUGAGCUAACUUUCCAUUUGACGGCAAAAGAAGGGGCCCUGUGAUAGUCACAUCUUUGACUAAUAUACACGGGCUUCUGAGAGGAUUUUUUAAUCAAGCCAAGAGAUAUCGAUUUAGCAGUCCAUACCAGGUAGAUUUAGGAGUGACUGGCAGUGAAUGCCCGGUAGCAAAGGUGCGAAGCAGACUCGGCUUAACUUCACUUAAGUUCGGUUUCCCCUGGAAAUGAUGGAACAAGAUUUUCUUCCUUUUAGUGACUAUGAGCUCAUAGAGAGCUGGAAUGAACUUGGUUAGCUGGGACUAAGAAGGGAUAGGAUUUGAUUAGCGCAUUUUCUGCCUGUCCUUUCCUUACUCUGUCGAUGGUAUGCCUGAGAUGGCAGUCUUUCUCCUUGGCUUGUACUCGAGAUCCGAAAGAAGUGGAUUUCGAACCAGUAUAUGCAAAGCAAAGGUCUCGCCGUCCCCGACCUUGGGGCCUAGUCGCUAGCUUGAUGGACGCUAUCAUUUCAUAGGAAUUCUUCAGUCUAUGGCUUACCGGUCGGGUGAAGCUUGCACGAGACUCUAAUCACUCUAAUAGUAUCUAUAAUAGAUACUAAUAGUAGAAGUCAUCAGGACGGUAGCACUUCAGCGACUGCUGUAGCAGCUUUAGAUACGCACCUGCUUCAGUUUCAUUCGGCAAAAAAAUGAUUCCAUCAAAGUGGGGAGGAGAGGAUGAAUGAGCCCGAACAAAGCCCACUCUUCAUUCCGGUAAACCAACUCCAACCAAGCCCAACACUUAAGAUAGCACUACUUCAACAUUCAAUCGCACAGCAUUAAAGGUAGCGAGGCUAACGGAUUAUAACAGCAUCAGACCAUUGAAAACUUACUUAACUGAUCAGGAACUAGACAAACCGCAGGUCAGCUCAUAAAAUUCAAAACUUGAGAAGUAAGGGAAUAUCGAUGGCCUUUGUUGAACAGAGAGCGAACGGACGGCAAGUGACUUUGAUCUCAUGCUGGCCUUUACUUCGGCUACUACGAAUUUGCCAAUUAUGAGUUGGGUGCUUUAACCAUUCAGCCAUGGAUGCUUAACGGGGAUCCUCGUACAUGGUGAAUAACCAAACUCCAAUUGAAAUGAAAUCUUUAGGAUAAAUUAAUGCAAUUUAGGAGGAAUCAGCCAAGGAGAAAGACUGCCAUCUCAGGCAUACCAUCGACAGAGUAAGGAAAGGACAGGCAGAAAUCGCCCUAAUCAAAUUGUAUCCCUUCUUAGUCCCAGCUAACCAAGUUCAUUCCAGUGAAUCUGUUGCGACACGGAUGGGAAUGCAUGCUACAAAAGAUAGGGUCGAGUCUGAUACAUCAACCGUCUACUCAAUAUCCUUGUGUGAGUCCACAAUGACUACACGAGAUGAACCUUGGUUUGGUGAAUUGAAGUUGGAGCCCUGCUAGUAUGCCUCGAGAGACUGAGCUACUAUUUUCUUUUCCUUACCCAUAUAUCAUAGUUAGUACCCUCAAAGCCAUUGCCUUUCAAGUAGAGCGUCUUUUCAAUUCAGUCUUGUCCCGCCUGCUCGCUAGCAAGUGCCUCGGGCCCUGCCUCUCUUUUCCAACAAUCUCAGCCAAGUGCUUCGUUCCUCUCCUUUUAGGUGAGCUACUUCGUUCCAGCCUUCUUUUUCUAUUUUGAAACACUUUCAGCUUGAACUCUAUUCAUUUGAGCUCGCAACCCUAGGAGUUCGGUUCAGCGUCACAAACUUUUUUAUUUUCAUACCGUAGAGUUCUUAACAAUAUUAAUGUUAUGAAAGAGUACGAAAAAAAAAUAUUUUUUCCUUAUUUGAUCAGAUUAAAAAGAAACUUUGGGAUUGCUGAAUCACAGACAAAAAAAAAGAAAAAAGAAACAUAUAAAGCAAUGGAGCCAUCAUAGUAUUUUUUAACUCUUCCGAAAGGAAGGAUGGCAAUUUGAUUAUUUACCCAUCGGAGUCUGAUAGAUUUUAUUUUUCUCUUUCUUCAAUAGAAAGGAGGGGGGUCAAUUUUCUUUUAGAGCUGGACUCACUGGAAUAGUUCUGGCAAAUUCUGGGCUAGACAUUGCCCUACAUGAUACUUAUUAUGUGGUUGCACACCUACCGGUAAAGGUAGGUCGGGAAAUGUGCAAGGCAGAUAGAAGUACCGAAACAACCACAAUAUGCACCACUGCCAAUUGAAAAACAAAUUCUAGUCAUUUAUGCAGUUGUCAAUGGAUCCUGUGUCUACACGGGAGGGGUGCAGUUUAGAUAUAUGCCAAGGUCUCAGACAAAAAGGAAAUAAAAUUUUGAUCUGAAUCCAGGUUGUUGGCUUACCAGGCACUUGCCCGCUACUCCUGUCGCCCGUUGCUCCUGUCGCCCACUUGGCGGGCGAAGUGCUCGUUAUCCUGACUUUUUGGAAGACAGCUUGAUGAGAGCUGGGUAGGAAUCUAGCUCAACAAAGAGUUUUUCUCGUCGGACCCAUAUACCCAUGAAUGAUUUCAGACUUUAUCACACCUAUUUCGGAGGAUGGUCAACAGACUUGGGAAGUCACCUUCUUCUUUCUUAUGCUAUUACCAAAAGCUCUUUUCUUAGGAAGGAUUAUUCCAGUUUUCAGUCUUAUGACCUGUGCCCUUUCACCGGCAUUUUAUUCAACGAGACCGAAAAUACAGUAAUGAUUUGUUUUAUGGACAGUUAUAUUAUUUCCAGCCCGUUCCUUCAAUCAAAGAAGAAUCCAUGCCCAGGGCUAGUGCCAGCGCAUAGUCAGAGUCUUCCCUGCGUGCCUAACAUCCACUCCUUCUAGUCGAGUGCCUUACCGCUAUCCUUGGGAAACUAAAAGAUCUACCGAAGAAAAGGGAUACAGUCUCUCCCUUGGCCUUUGGAGAGGAGAGGGCAGAGAAGAAAACGACCUUUGCGCAAGUUUCUUUGCUUCCUGCAUCAUUACUAGUAUAAAAGGGGCUCUUCGACCGCAUCCAUUGCAACUCCCCAUGCUGGUAAGAAAAGGGUCAACCCAGUGGCGCAUCGACAUCUUGAUACGGCUGAGAAGCCCGAGGCUUGGAUAACAAAUCUGAAUUCCAGUAUGAGGUCAGCAGUUGAUCUCUACGGUAAGCGAGACAUAGACAAGAAGCUCAUGCACAGAUUGACUACAGAAUGAGCAUUUCAAAACUCAUGUUUAACCAAGAGGGGAAACUAGUUGAGAACAAUAAAAAAACCGGUGCCCCUAUUAAGAGGACAUUAAAUCAAUGGUUAGCUAGGUCGUUAUAAUCGUAACGGAGAUUCAACCUACCCGCUUACUCCGGUAGGGCCGUCUUCCAGGGUUUGUCCUAUAGCUACUGAGGAUCCGAUCUGUAGCGCGCCACCCAAUUAAGGCUACCAGCAUCGGUCUACCCUUUCCCCUCAUUAUCCAUUCAUCAUGGCUACAGCCAGACUGAUUGUUCUUGAACAUAAGGCAAUUCAUUUCAAAUAGAUCAAGGUCGAAAUCAGAAAGGAGAUCUGGUGAAAACUGCAAGGCACUUGCAUUCCUUUAUUGAUGUGAUGGUUUCUUGUUUAUCGGGAAUAAGGUGCGGCAGAACCCAUAAUGACCUGCCACUAUAGGAAGUUCCCAAUCCCUAGGGUCGAUUGUCCGUCUAGUGAGUGAGUGCUGAGACUGUCUCUCCCACCAGUCAAGUCAGGGGGUCAUGGUCAAAAUCAAUGAGAUCUAUAAAGUGAGACUCGCUACUAAAUAAAGAAGGUACGAUCAAAGGUUUUUUGACUCCUUUGCUUCAACUCAUCGAGUAAAAUCUUCUCUUUCUAUUCUAUUUGCUCUUGACAUAGUGGCUACCACCAAUUUAUAUCAGACUCAGGACCAAUAGAAGAGACGAAUGCGCCCCGUGAUGUGAUUCAGAUAAACUUCUGAUCUUAGUCCAAGAUUAUUUUCACUAACUGAGUCUAGAAACUCAGCACUUAAACUGAUGUCUCCAUCCCCGUAUCGGAGACCUUCUUUCGUCUACCCUUUCCUGGGACUCCCUCUCAGGCCGAUCUGGUUCGCUUAUUGUGCUUCUCUCAAUAGUUUAAUCAAACAAUCUUAAAAGGGUGGGUCAGAAUUUCAGUCUACCAGCUUAUACCUACCGACCGAGUUUUUGUUUAGGGAGCUCCGACUUAUCCUUUUCGUUUUAGUGCGGGUUUAAGCUCAUCUUCUUUCAUUUCUCAAUAGGACAGGACUAAAAACAUUCUUCGCAAGAUGAGAGCUUGCAUUAGAUGAAGCCGACUUUGACCAUCUCGCAUAUCAACUUCCUCUAUCAAUAGCAUAAAGCCGCCCAACACAGAGAACGAACAUGGUCGAUAGGUAAUUAAUCUUCGUUUGGAUAGCAGUACGGUACACGAAUCAAGAUAUAAUCUUUGCUUUUCCAUCCCUGGAAUUCAAAAGAAAAAGGGGAAAGGGAGAGUUAAAAGCACCCUGUAGAUAAAGAUCGAGAGCCUGUAGACUGGGGUUGAACCAUAUCCCCCUUCUGUUAAUCGAGAGUGUGACGAAGUGAACCGCAAAUAUUGUGCGGUAAGAUGAUGCUGUGAGGCAGAGAUAGCUGCACUUCUUGUUCUUUUUUCCCUUCAAUUCUUUAAUGCUUCUUUCAGGUCUCGCUACCCCUGACCAUAAGAAAAAUAUUAUACUAUAAGAGCGAGGUGCAAGUGCUGCAUAAAGUUCUGUUAUCCGUUGUUCAAGCCUUUCUUUGAGCAGAGCGCUUUCUUUCUGGUCAUUGGCAAGCGCAAAUGGGCUUUCACACUCGCUUAUGUUAUGGGUGGGAUGAAGACAUCUAUCUUAUUAUAUGGAAGAAGAUCGUUAGAUAGUUAGCAGCUAGAACAAAAUAAGGGGCGUUGUAUGGAGGUUUCCAAGCAGAGGUGCGAAGCAAUUUGAAAAAAAAAAAAGAAACAACUUUACUGACAAUUACAUAUUUUUUAUUUUGUCAGAAGAGUCCUCCGAAUAUUUUGAAAUAGCAAAGAAUCAUUCGGCACGUAGUGAACUGCCAGAUAGAUCAGUACAGCUAUUGAAUAGAUAGAAGAUCUAGCGCCUCGGUCAAAGAGAAUGGGGCUGUCAAUAAUGCAGUCAUUUUGCAUACAUAAUCGGCUUUUGAACCAUUCAAUUCACGGGUCCCCUAAACCUAUGGAUGGUUUCAUAGCGUCUUUCAGGAGGCUCAGCUUGAAUCGAAAUGCUUCGCUGGAGUGAACGAAGGAUGUUUCAAGUCCUUUGAUUGUGCGUUUAUGCUUUAUUUAAGCAGCUUUGAAUGCGCUUUCUAAUCUUCUUCUGUAAAGAAAGGAUAACAGAGAGGCUCAGGCUAGAUCGGGAGGAGCUAAUUCAAACCCCUCCGGUAAAAUAAGAACAAACCCGCCUUCUUAUUUUUCUUUAUUUAUUUCAUUUUCUUGGAAAUAGAUUUAGAAGUCAAAAAGGAAUAAUUCUAACUCACUCAUAACAACAAGAAGCCUGGGCCUGAAGGCACCAAGUCCCAUAGAAGAUCUUCUUAUUCCCGCCUCUGCCAACUACCGGGGAUGAAAUGCCAGCAACAAGGAAAGCUACUAAUUAGGCUUAGGCCUGAAGGUCUCAUUCCAGUUUGAUUUCCAUGCCUACAGGAAAGAAGAUCAAGAAUGCCAAAAAAUCCAAUCCCGCAAAGGAUUGUUUAUGGAACUACUAUCGAGAUUCUUCGAACCAUAUUUCCUAGUAUCAUCCCUAUGUUCAUUGCUAUACCAUCAUUUGCUCUGUUAUACUCAAUGGACGAGGUAGUAGUAGAUCCAGCCAUUACUAUAAAAGCUAUUGGACAUCAAUGGUAUCGGAGUGCGCCUCUUCACGAGGGUGAUUAAAGUGCAACGAAAUGCCUUAAAGUUGAAUAUGGUUCGCGAAACCUCAAUGAAUUCUGGCAUCACGGGCUGAUCCAUAGCCCGUAUGAAUAGGAAAGUCUAUAUUAACUAUCCAUAGGCUAUCCUAAGAACGAUCUCUAUAAUAAGGAAAAUAAGGAGUACCCUCACUCACAGAGGAUUCGAUAAGAGUCUAUUGAUUCUAGUGCACUAUCCUUAACACAGGUAAAUCGGUCUUUCUUUUUAUCAUAUGGUAUUCAUGUGGAAGAACUAGGCUAGAAAAGAAUCCCUCUUUCAUUCAUCAAUUUCAUUGCCUCUUCCCUGUCCUAGGUGUGGACGAAGACCGAGACUUCUCUAAGAUCCGAUUCGAGAACCCCCUCAUCUCGUGGCUAGGAACAUCUAUGUAGAUAGGAUUGGAUUCAUAGUGCCAGUUAGGGGUAGGUAUAAACCUUCAUUCAUCUUCUUCGAUCUUCCUUGGAAUAUCCAUCAUCUUGGUCUCGACCUUGUUGAGCUCUCCCUGAUCGAAAGUUCCUAUUUUACUGCCUCUUCGAUCGUCUCCAACUCCCUAAAAAAAAGAUUGGUGACCUAGAUAGUCAGGUUCUUUCCUUACCUUAGCUAAGCCUUAUGUCCCUUCAACAUUCCUAUUCAUCUUGCCUUGUCUAGCUCUACCAUAUCUUUUGUUUCAUUUCUUCUGGAACAAUCACAAACACUUUUUUGAUUAUGGAUCUACUACCAUAAAUUCAAUGCGUAAUCUCAGCAAGUACGGAACGAGCCUUGUCUACAAAGCAGAGCGACCUCAUCUUGCUUGCAAGUGGAUUAAAUCCAGUAGUUAGGGAAGCCAGUACGCAUACAGGAAGUGGUAAAGCUGCAGUAGAGUUGGCAUUUGAUUGCCCUAUUGUUUACUUGAAAUUCCUAUCUAUUCUUGAUCCAUCAAAAAAAAAUCGUUUGUAUCUUCGGGAUAGGAGUUGGCAGUCUUCUUUAAGAGAACUUCAAUCUAAUACUCAUUAUGGAUCAACUCAUAUUUCCACUCUAUUUUCAUUACGAGGAUGUAUCACAUCAGGAUCCGUUGCUCAAACCGAAUCACGGCAACGUUAUGGAAGUUCCUGGAUCGUCGACAUAAAGGAAGGUCUCAUUCCAGUUUGAUUUCCAUGCCUGCAGGAAAGAAGAUCGAGAAUGCCGAACUAGUGAAUACAGAAAGCAAUUGAAGGCGUUCUAGUUUGUUCAAUGUAGUUUGAAGACCUACAACAAGAGGACCCCUAUAAAGCCCCUAGUUGCCAAAGAUCAGGAAGCUCUUUGUUAUGAAGAAGCCACAAAUAAAUCAGAGGAAAAUUAGGGUCUAAAUCAUAUAGGGGUUGGCUACGGGCGGCACCGUAUAGCUAUAACAUUCUGCGUGUGUAGCACCUAGCUGUCUCUCAACCAUUUUUGACACCCAUCUGAUCAGUAAUCAUCGAAAACCUACAGGAUGAGAACGGCUUAGUUUCAUUUGAAACAUGGGAUUUCACACUGAUAAUAUCAAUGUAGCCUUUACCCUGUCAUUACCAGUCACACAUCAGAGUAGGCAAAUAGUGAAAAAAAUGAUUCAUGAACUUAGAAUCCCGAUCAGAAGUGAUAGUUUGUUCCAGGAAUGCAAUGGAGCCUAACAAUCUCUCGAAAGUAGAGGUCACCAAGUUCGAAGAGCUACACACUCCCGAAAGCGAGGAAGCCGACCAAUUCCUUCAAAGGGAGGGAAUGAAAGUUGGCGACCCAGAAGAAAAAAAAAGAGUGGAAUAUAUUUAUACCUGUGGUAUGAACCCCUUACGGGCCGCCAAGGCCCUACAGAAUCCCCAUUCUAAAACCGCUAAUCAUAAUCUUGUUAUGACUGUCCCUCUUACGGGGAACUCUUUUCAGGCAGCACUAAUCAAAUAAUAGGGAGGAGAAAGAGGAAAUAGCAAAGAAUCAAAACCUUCCCCAAUAAAUAUAGGAUUCGUCGAAUGUGAAUUAGUGAGCAAAGUUGAUCAAAAAGUAUGGUGUACUUUUUCUCACUUGGAAGGGUAAGGAUCGGUUGGAUACCUUGGAGGCACCAUAGAUUGCACCAUUGGCAAUGGCGCUUUUGAGUGCCCCUAACCUUGAGGGGGCCAUAGAUCGAGUUCUGGGCUAAGGUUACCAGUUUCGCAGCCCUUCGAAACUCCCUUCUGGAAAAGGUUCAGUAGAUCUACUAGGUUACUAGAAAUGACCAAAGAACAAAAAAAACUGCACCUAGUGAUGAGCUUGACUGGUACUCUAACAAGAACGCGGUCCAAUCUAGCAAAGCUGGCUCAACGUAUGCUCUAGCUCCGAUACGGAGGGCUUAUGAGUCACAGAAUUUGAAGCCAAAAAAACAAGGUAAGAAAGGUGGAGCGGCCUCACACAAAAAGAUUUGUCUAAGCAAUCUUAAAGAGAUUUUCAAUAAGUCAAUACCAAGAUUUACUUUCUGCGCCUACUAAUGUGAUGAUAAUUCAGAAGCUUUUUUGCAAAGAAGAAGGGCCCUGUUCCUAUGGGUUCACGUGCUAAGGCUCCACACUCAAACCUCAAGGAAGGCAGGAGAUUGCGGAGUAAUGGAAGACAGAAGGAUUUUCACUUGAUUAGAUGGGAUUGCUUCCUUUAGCACUCCAACAGACUCAAGGAUGAAAAAAAAAGGUUCCACACGACCAAGGAAGCAUCGAUUUUUAAUCUCAUUAUGACUUGGUCGUUCGGAAGAGAAAUUAAUUCGAUCAGAAGAGUGGAAUGGAAGGCUGUAAAAGAAUGAAAUACUCCUUUCUUUUCCAAUCGCCCCAUGAAGACAGACGCUCGGAAAGGUUCUCAAGAUUCUCAAUCGCUCUUUUUAGUGGGGAGAAAUAGUGUAGGGGCUUUGUUUAGCCGCCUAUGUAGUAAGAAAAACUCUGAGUUUGACGUUGAAUAGCCAUAGUGAGUUCAUCACCAGUGGCAUAAGCAGAAGAGGCAUAUGGGGUGGGGAGAAAGGCAAUUUACCUUUCUCUCUAGGAACCUUUUGAAGGCAGGGAGUGUGACAAUGUACACGCUUCCCUUUACUCCAUAGGUCCUUCUCAUCAGUUGCAGGGUUUGGUGGCCCGAAAUUGACUUGGCUUCGCCAAAAAGCCUCAUCUCUAAAAACCCGACUCGCGAGGCGUCCCUCUCGCAGUAGGGUUCCAACCUCGCCUCGCUCUUGUGACAUGCUAUGUUUCCCUUCUCUAUUCCCAAGUAAAGGGUGAGUCCCAUGCAUCAGUUUGUGGAUCGCGAUCUCACACACUAAUCCCUACAGGUGCUCAUAGUAGGCCGGCCGCCCUACCUAAACUAAUCGUCAUAUUGGUCCCUAGGCCCCAUUGCUGGAAAGGAGAAUCAUAGAACGAAUGAAAGAUGGAGACAAGGGGCGAAGGAUAUUGAUGAUAUUCGGAAAGAUUUCUGUUCAUUUGCUCUGCUCGCAGAGCUGUAUACCAAAAAAAAAAGAGACUUGUCAGAAAUCGCCGGUUGGUUUUGUUUAUCCAACCAAGAAAGGCAUGGGGCUUUUGGGCAUGGUAACUAAACACUUAGUUAGCGUUAGAUUUUCUUUUGAUUUCACCAACUCAGGUCUUUUAUUAACAUACGAUAAUAUUUUGCCAACUCACAGGUGUAAGCGCUAUAGUACAGUGUUGACUAGUGUGCUUUGGUGUAACCGGGGAGCUGGAACCAAAGAAAGACUAUACUCGGCGUCCCUUCCUCUUAUCAGGCAGCUAUCUCGAGCUCAUUGAACACUAAAUUUCUUCUUUUUUUUAUAAUCGUCAAAAUUCUCUCAAUUGUGCCCCCACUGCCAUUGGAGCACAAAGGAUGAAAUAUAAUCGAUUCCUCUAUUUAAGUGGUUGUCGCUUCUCCUUGUUCCUAUUACUAACUCCUCCCCGGGUAGUUCCCAAUGUUUGUCACUUUCCAUACUUCAUAGGUGCAACAUCAACAAAUUCGCUCAUGAUCAAGUUACAAGCCAAGAUCUAUGACCAUAUUAUAUUAACUGUUCGUAUUUCGUUCAUUCCAUCGGUAAGGAGGGGAAAGCCACUUGACUGGUUGGAAAGGAGCUCUGACGUUGGAAUUCAAUAGUGACAGAAAUGGUCAUCUUUGCUCUACAGCUACUGGUGUCAUCGCCCUGCAAAGAGGUGGAACCAACCACCUUCACUAUUUCGGAUAGUAUUUAUGGUUCUACCUUUUUCUUAGCAAUUGCCUUUCAUGGUUUUCAUAUGAUUAUAGGUACUAUUUUCUCGAUCAUAUGUGGUAUUCGUCAAUAUCUUGGUCUUCUGACCAAGGAGCAUCACAUUGGCUUUGAAGCAGCUGCAUGGUACUGGGGAUCUUCCUUUCAAAUUUAAGCGUCUAUUCCGCUUUAUCCUUUCAAUAAUUAUAUUGAAUAAAGACAAAUUGAUCCACGGGUAUUUUGAUGCUCGAUCUCGGCAUAGCUUUAUUGAAUCCUAUGGGAAUACGAUAUCCUCCCUCACUAGUAUAGUACAGGUACUCUAUUUGAAUUUGAUUAAUAGGCCCUAUCCCUAGUUCAAGGACUUGGCAAGAUUCCCGACAGACAAAUGGUGGAAGAUUUCAACAACGAUUCUUCCCUUAGCCGAUUAUUACUCUAUCCUUCUCAUUGUCUUAUCGUAAACUCCUAUCUCUCCUGCUUUGAACCCACACUCAAAGGAGGACCACAGGCUCGGGGCUCGACGAAACAAAAAGUUUCAGCAUGUUGAAAAUGGAGUUAGCGUGAAAGAAGGAGCCCGGAAUUUAUUUCUGAAUGAAUAUUCAUAGCUGAGUCUACUAAAAGAGGGACCAGCUGGCCCCCACUAGUCCGGCUAGCUAGUGAGCGAUUCUUUUGGGCGGGAAGCAGGCCGAACCCUAUGGGCGGGCAUCUCCCACAACACAAGCACCAUUGUUCGACACCACCCGAGAAGCUCUUCCUUUUCAGUCCCCACCCUCAAGUGAGAAGGAUAUUCUGUUGCUAUCGACUCUAGUGAUAUUAUUCAUUCAUAUCCCUCAAUCAAGCAAGCGAAGGGGGCUAGGUUGUAAUACAAAAUCGUAACCAUUGAUUUCGGAGGACUUAAUGAUUAUUCGUUUGUCGGAACCAGAAGUUCCAAUUUUGGUAGAUAGGGAUCCCGUAAAAACUUCUUUCGAGGAAUGGGCCAGACCGGGUCAUUUCUCAAGAACGAGCUUUCUUUUAGAAGGCUUGGUUCUGGAAGAUGACCUGAUGGAGGAAGGCCCUCCUAAUAAUAUCCAUAAAUGACUUGUUUUUGGUAAUAGAUGAAAAUUACCGUAUGUAAAUUCGGGUGCAUGAUAGACAUCGGUACUCCAGUGUAUUUCUCCGUCUGAAUCGGAAUAAAUAUGUUUUCGAACCUUCUCUUUAAAAUUCAAAGUGGAUAUUCCUGUGCGAAUCUCAGCAAUUACUUGUUCUGAUUCUACAUAUUGAUCAUUUUGAACUAGUGAAGACGACGUCGAGUUAACGGUAGAGAAAGACUCGGCAUUUAGGAGCAGGAGCAGAAGCACUACGAAGAACAAGAAGUUCGUCAGUUUAAAGAUUCAUUUCUACCAGGUGACGGACUAAUAAGUUUAAGAAUCUGAGAAAAGGUUGUUUUUGAAAUGGCUAUGAGAGAGUACAUAGAGGAGUUUUUUGACCUCCUGUCUCUACGAUGUAGAGUGAAGAAGGGAGAUAAGAGGGCAAUAUUCGAGCUGACUUUUUCUAAGCACGAAUUGCAUUUGUGUUUGAUAGAAAGCAUAGGAAUUUGUCCAUUUUUUGGGGUCUCAAAGGGGCGUGGAAACGCAUAAGAACUCUUGAAUGGAAAAGAGAUGUAACUCCAGUUCGUUCCUUCGAAAUCGGUAGUUAAUCCUAUUUCCGAUAGGGGCAGUUGACAAUUGCAGGAUACAGAGAGAAAGAUAUUGAAUGAGUUUAAAGAGCAUUUAUCUAAGCUAAGCCCAGUUAAUCCUACUAUCUUCAGGAGCUAAGCCUGGCCUCUUAUAAGUCUCAAUUGAGGCAAAAAAAAGACGGAUUCUUAACCCGAUAGGGGAUCUUGCUACAUAGCUUCAUAUCUAAUCAGCUGAUAUACUGAUGCAGGAAAAUUCUUCUAAAGAAGACGUGUUGAGCUUUCUUUCCUUCAGGUUCAUAGGUUCGUAGGAGGAGCCUUAUGUCGUAGGCCCUUCUUGCUAAAAAGUGGAGUUUUGACUGACUCUCUAUGCGAAUUCGUAGGUUUAAUUCCUACUGGAUGCACGCGAAUGGGACCCUCCAAUAAGUCUGGCAGAAAAUGCCGAUUCCAACCCCCAAGAAGCCUUACUGUACUUUUUUAAUGAGAAACGCCAUGAACUUGACCAAGAGGGCGGAACCCGUUAGUAAAAUACCGGAGAGAACUCUGCUUUUCGAAUCAACUUUUACAUGAUCUUCGAAAAAAUGGAAUAAACUUCGUCUAUUUCAAUAUUCCAUUUGGGUAAAUAGAUACGAGAUCUCGUCGUCGAAGUGACGUGAGAAAUUUUUGUUAUAUGUGCCUGAAGCUGCUAUAUUUGCUUUUUUGGCUAUACUUAGACGGACGAGUGGAAUGGAUCGGAUGGGAGAGGAAUGGAAAGCUAGGAUCGCUUGGUAAGCAAGCAGGCACUAACUCCCAGUUUUUUCUCUUCUUUCUUUUUGAUUAGAGAUUUGAGAUUCCGUAAGUAACUCAGUGAGUGCUUUCUAAGAAGGUCUUGGAAGAAGAAAAUGAAAUAGGAACAACCGCGCUGGUCGGAAUUGAUCGACUUUCAUGCUAGUUCUUGCUCCAGCAUGAAAGAUCUAUUUCAGGGAAGGACGACGUACUAUGAUACUUUCCGUUUUGUCGAGCCCUGAUUUGGUCUCUGGUUUGAUGGUUGUACGUGCAAAAAAUCCGAUACAUUCCGUUUUGUUUCUCAUCCCAGUCUUUUGCAACACUUCAGGUUUACUUCUUUUGUUACGUUUUGACUUCUUCGCUAUGAUCUUCCCAGUAGUUUAUAUAGGAGCUAUAGCCAUUUUAUUCCUAUUCGUUGUUAUGAUGUUCCAUAUUCAAAUAGCAGAGAUUCACGAAGAAGUAUUGCGCUAUUUACCAGUGAGUGGCAUUAUUGGACUUAUCUUUUAGUGGGAGAUGUUCUUUAGUUUAGAUAAUGAAAGCAUUCCAUUACUACCAACCCAAAGAAAUACGAUGUCUCUUAGAUAUAUGGUUUAUGCCGGAAAGGUACGAAGUUGGACUAAUUUGGAAACAUUGGGCAAUUUACUUUAUACCUACUAUUUCGUCUGGUUUUUGGUUUCUAGUCUUAUUUUAUUAGUAGCCAUGAUUGGGGCUAUAGUACUGACUAUGCAUAGGACUACUAAGGUGAAAAGACAAGAUGUAUUUCGACGAAAUGCUCUGGAUUCUAGGAGGACUAUAAUGAGGAGGACGACAGACCCGCUCACGACAAUAAGGAGAAGCAGUGGUUCGAAUCCAUAUCGUGAGCUUAAGUAAGCCUUCUGACGCAUCUAUUUGUGUCAAGGGUCCUGGAUAUAUAACUGCUCAAGAUAUCAUCUUGCCUCCUUAUGUAGAAACCGUUGAUAAUACACAACAUAUAGCUAGUUUAACAGAACCUGACAUCGGUAGAAUCUACCUACAAUUCCUUGUAUGUUCGAUAGAGCCAAAGAUUCCCCCCACUGAUCGGAGUACGCCGAUUACCCCCCGAACCGUACAAGAUAGUUACCACCUAUCAUAUGGCUUUCUAACUUCACUUCUUUUUCUGGUCGUUCUGCUCUGUCGAUCGAUUUCAAUCUCAACAAAGAAAUAAAAGCAUAACUCUUUGCUCGCUUGAAGCUCCUCUUAGUCUUUUAUUUUAGCCUGCCUUGUGAAGAUCUCUCGGGUUUUAUUAAUGCUUUUGUGGAAAGUUGAACCCAACGAGCAAAAUAAAAUGGAGUGAGUAGUAUGAAGCUACGUCUUCCUAUUCAGAUAUUGGUCAUUUCCGCCAUCGGAAUAUGCUGUACCGUAAUGCAAGAGAUCCUAUUCUUUGGACCAGAUGAAAAGAAAGUGAACCGAAGUCGACUCGACGCAAGUACGAUAAAAAAGCAGUUCAGUAAUCCGGGAAAGUUUACAUCUAUUUUGUAUUUGUAGCAUUUUGGCGACAUGGCCGAGUGGUAAGGCAGAGCACUGCAAAUCCUUUUUUCCCCAGUUCAAAUCUGGGUAAAACCCGAGUGAUAUCACCCGCAGGUGGUAUGCCUGAGCCGCCACUGCUUUGUCCUUUUCACUUCUUAUUACUCCUUUCGUUCAUUUUUUCUAACAUUUCUAGUACCAACUAAUUCAUUUGGGCGAGAAAUCUUACAGCUUGAUUGCGAAGCAUGGUUUCGAAAGGUCAGCUGAAAGAUAGUAUAUAUCAACAUUCAAACCUAUUCCUUUGUGGCUGGCCUCAGUGCUUAACGUCAGGUUCCCUCCACAUACAUAUGAAAAGUAAGCCAACCGUAUUAGCUCAUCAACUCGCCAUGUAUAAAGACAUGUGCAAUAUAUUGAAUGGGCUUCAGAGACAAGGAUUUCAGAUAAAUUCGAAUAUAUUGGAGUUCAUUAAGAAUCAUCGUGCUACUUUAGAAAAAGUAGUUCUUCUUAUGCCAGGUAUACUGGCACACGUGAAUCUGAAAGAAUCCUACGAUCUUCUGAGGAAAUCUUAUUUCCUGAAUAAGGAUAUAAAGAACGUUUGUAGCCUUAGUGAUCUCUUUAAGGAAUUAGCAAAUAGGGUGCAGACAGCUAGGUAUGAAGAUUUCAUAAUCAGGCUAACGUCCGCAUACGAGGGUUAUGUCUUUUAUCUGCCUGCCUUUAUGGACUUUCGUGGAAGAAUCUACCGCUGUGGUAUCUUUCAUUUUCAUAAGCGUGAUUUAGCAAGAAGUUUCAUUCUAUUUUCCAACAAUACUCAAGAAGGAAUCAACCAGUCAGCUAAGGACAUAGUAGCCACAUCAGCUGCCUUUAAGUAUAAGAAAUUCGAUCUUUAUCGUAUGAUAAUUCAAACUUUUAGAACUCUUAGACAUAUGGAAGACCUAUACUAUUGAUUUCCCGAUACCGAGACUCUACUCUAGAAAUCCAUAGUCUCUAGAUAGCCCUAGCCAAGGUUCCAAUUCUGAUAGACUAGCCUUGCCUUCCCCACAGAGGAGAUAGACUGGUCUAUAAAAGCUUCUGGAAUUAGAAGAAGGAAUGUUGGAGCUAUUCCCUUAGUGACAUUAGCAUCUUUCUUUCGAACAUUCGGACAUUAUAGGCUCUCCUCCAACAAAGGACUGGGAAAGAAAAACUCACAUUCCCGAAUAAGCAGAAAGUCUAGGAAGAUAUCAACCAUGGAUGGAAGGUCUCCUGUAAGCCAGAAGGUCCUACUAAGUGGUCUAAGUCGAACCUCUUCCUUGAAUGGUUAAGGAAAGCUUUUCAUAUAAUGCCUUUGUUCGUACCUGCCCUUCUUCUCUUUGCCCCCAUCCACCAUCCCUUAGCCUUAAAAACAACCAAACCACCGGUCAAUCGACCGACAGUGAACCAAAUCCGCGUUUUCAAACAAUGAAUCUAAUUCAAACUCUCUCAGGAAGCUCGUGGUUCUGGAGCCGACUGCCCGAACCAUCCAUACAAACCAUCUCCCGGCUAGAAAUGAGACCUGGUGGAGCAGCUUAGCCAGCCAUCUCGUUCCCCUCUUCCCCGCAUCUAAACCAUCCUUUAUUUUAUCUCAAUCUCUCGCGAGGGUACGUUUUCCAUCACGACUGACUGACCUGACGGUAGGAAUUGAUUGAGAUNNNNNNNNNNNNNNNNNNNNGAGGGGAAAACCUAGAAAAGAAAAGACCCAGAAUCACGUCUAACAAUCUAUUGGGGGGAAAUCAAUAAUGAAGCAGCAGGCAGAGUCGUUUGAUGACACGAGGUUCCUAUAUACCAUCAUCUCGAAUCCAAAGGCAUAACAAUAGGUAGGCAUCUUCUCGAUGAUCUAUAAAAAUAUCUAAAGGUGAACCAAUAGACAGAGAGAGAUGCUCUUCCUGCGGCCCAAGAUGAUUCUUGAUAGCAGGAGAAAUAGAGUCUUUUUUUGGCGAGUGUAGGGGAGCCGAAGGAGAUUCCAACCCACAUUACUGACUAACGGUGGAUAAUCAUAUUUCUUAGAGGUACUAAAUACAACUCCAUGAAUGAGCAAAAUGAAGGUUGCAUUAAUGAUAAGGAUCUCUGGGGAAACCGUCGUUCCUGUUCCUUAUGGUGCUUUUUCAACCCUUUGCUUCGCAACCGUCAUCUUUUAGCUGAUUAAUGAGUGUCAAAGAUAGACGUGUCAUGCCGCAUGAAGAAAGCUAUCAAGCAUUGAAUGAAGGGAGGGAGGCUCGGGAAAGGUUGUCGGAGUAGUGAUCGGGAUGAGAUAGAUGCCUCCCAGCCGGGGGGCGGAUCAAAUUGGAGUUUUCUUAGGUAGACACCGACCUAUAGUUAUCCUUAAACCUCCAUGCCAUUUCGUCGUUGCUCAUUCCCGUUAGGCUAAAAUGUUUGGCCUUUCCUUCUCCGCGCCCGCUCAGGCUUCGCUGACCUAUCGCAUGGGGCACCUAAGGUUUGAGGGGAAU